rnacentral:lncRNA from 1 species
UUGAAGGGCAGAUUCCUUCUUCUAUAGGUCAGCUCAGAAAGCUUCAGAUACUCGAUAUCCAAAGAAAUGCCCUGAAUUCUACAAUUCCAUCUGAGCUUGGCUCUUGUACUAAUCUCACCUUCUUAUCUCUAGCUGUGAACUCACUAUCCGGGGUGAUUCCUUCUUCCUUCACCAAUCUUAACAAGAUAUCCGAGUUGGGUUUGUCGGACAAUUUUUUAUCUGGUGAGAUCUCACCUUAUUUCAUCACUAAUUGGACUGGACUGAUCUCUUUGCAAGUUCAGAACAAUAGCUUCACUGGAAAAAUCCCAUCUGAGAUUGGCCUUUUGGAAAAGCUGAAUUACCUUUUCCUGUAUAAUAAUAUGCUGUCCGGGGCAAUCCCAUCAGAGAUUGGGAAUUUGAAAGACUUGCUUCAACUAGACCUUUCACAAAAUCAGCUUUCGGGUCCAAUCCCUGUAGUAGAGUGGAAUCUCACACAGCUUACUACCUUACAUCUUUAUGAAAACAAUCUCACUGGAACAAUUCCUCCAGAGAUUGGUAACUUGACAUCAUUGACUGUUCUUGAUCUCAACACUAACAAAUUGCAUGGAGAGCUGCCAGAGACAUUGUCACUCCUCAAUAAUCUAGAGAGACUCUCCGUGUUCACCAACAAUUUCUCAGGCACCAUUCCGACUGAACUUGGGAAGAACAACCUCAAGUUGACGCUUGUCAGUUUUGCCAACAACAGCUUCUCAGGAGAAUUGCCUCCUGGAUUAUGUAAUGGCUUUGCUCUUCAAAAUUUAACGGUAAAUGGAGGCAACAACUUCACAGGACCCUUGCCAGAUUGCUUGAGGAACUGCACGGGGCUAACUCGAGUCCGUCUUGAAGGGAACCAAUUCACUGGAGACAUUUCCAAGGCAUUUGGAGUUCAUCCAAGUCUCGUUUUCCUUUCUCUGAGUGGCAAUCGAUUUUCUGGUGAGCUUUCACCUGAGUGGGGGGAAUGUCAAAAGCUCACUAGCUUGCAGGUGGAUGGGAAUAAAAUUUCUGGAGAAGUCCCAGCCGAGCUUGGGAAGUUGUCACACCUGGGGUUUCUGAGCCUGGAUUCCAAUGAAUUGAGUGGGCAAAUUCCAGUGGCACUGGCGAAUUUAAGCCAAUUGUUCAACCUCAGCUUGGGUAAAAAUCAUCUGACAGGAGACAUCCCCCAGUUCAUAGGCACUUUAACUAAUCUCAAUUAUCUGAAUUUAGCAGGAAACAAUUUCAGUGGAAGCAUACCAAAAGAGCUGGGGAAUUGUGAGCGCUUGUUGAGCUUGAACUUGGGCAACAAUGAUUUGUCCGGUGAAAUACCUUCAGAGCUUGGAAACUUGUUCUCCUUGCAGUACCUUUUGGAUCUCAGUAGCAAUUCGCUCUCUGGGACAAUCCCUUCAGACCUGGGGAAGCUUGCCUCAUUGGAGAACCUGAAUGUCUCACAUAAUCAUCUCACAGGGAGAAUCCCAUCAUUAUCAGGCAUGGUCAGUCUAAACUCCUCUGAUUUCUCAUACAAUGAACUGACAGGUUCAAUCCCAACUGGCGAUGUCUUCAAGCGGGCAAUUUAUACUGGAAACUCGGGUUUGUGUGGAGAUGCAGAAGGAUUAAGUCCUUGUUCUUCAAGUUCCCCAAGCAGCAAGUCAAACAAAAAAACCAAGAUUCUAAUUGCUGUCAUUGUUCCAGUCUGUGGCCUCUUAUUACUUGCAAUUGUUAUUGCUGCAAUUCUUAUACUUCGAGGGCGAACUCAACACCAUGAUGAAGAGAUCAAUAGUCUAGACAAGGAUCAGAGUGGCACACCCUUGAUUUGGGAAAGACUGGGAAAAUUCACAUUUGGGGAUAUUGUGAAAGCCACUGAAGACUUCAGCGAUAAGUACUGUAUUGGAAAAGGAGGAUUUGGGACUGUUUACAAAGCGGUAUUACCAGAGGGUCAGAUUGUUGCGGUCAAAAGACUCAAUAUGUUAGACUCCAGCGACCUUCCAGCAACAAAUAGGCAGAGUUUUGAGAGUGAAAUUGUCACUCUGAGAGAAGUUCAGCAUAGGAAUAUCAUUAAACUUCAUGGGUUCCAUUCCAGGAAUGGAUUCAUGUACUUAGUGUAUAACUACAUAGAGAGAGGUAGUUUGGGGAAAGUACUAGAUGGGGAGGAAGGGAAAGUGGAGCUGGGGUGGGCCACAAGAGUUAGGAUUGUGCGGGGAGUGGCUCAUGCGCUUGCUUACUUGCAUCAUGACUGCUCUCCACCCAUUGUCCACCGUGAUGUUACUCUGAACAAUAUCUUGCUGGAGUCAGAUUUUGAGCCACGGCUCUCAGACUUUGGCACAGCGAGAUUGUUGGACCCGAAUUCAUCCAACUGGACUACAGUUGCAGGGUCUUAUGGCUACAUUGCCCCAGGUAAACUUGAGAUAAUUUUUAUCCAUUUUGUUUUAUCUUAGUUGAUCAGAAUGUGUUAUUAGGAAGCUAAUUUUGUUUUCUUGAUUUGCAGAGCUUGCACUUACAAUGAGGGUCACGGACAAGUGCGAUGUGUAUAGCUUUGGGGUGGUGGCAUUGGAAGUGAUGCUGGGAAGGCACCCAGGGGAGCUCCUACUUUCAUUGCCUUCUCCAGCAAUAUCUGAUGAUUCAGGGUUGUUCUUGAAGGACAUGCUAGAUCAGAGGCUCCCAGCUCCCACAGGCCGAUUGGCAGAGGAAGUGGUGUUUGUGGUCACGAUAGCCUUGGCAUGCACGGGUGCCAAUCCAGAGUCACGCCCCACCAUGCGCUUCGUUGCACAAGAACUCUCUGCUCAAACCCAGGCUUGCCUAUCUGAGCCAUUCCACACUAUAACCAUGGGCAAGCUAACAAGCUUUCAGAAGUAGGUCAAAUUGGUUUAACAUCCUUACAUUUAUAGUGGUUGGGUCUUAAGCCCUGUAUAGCGAGACAUAUUGCAAUGUUUGUAAUGUAAUAUAUAACUUCUAUUCAUUCAUUAGCAUUAUGUAUGUGUAUUGAUAGUUCCUUUUUCUUUAUUAUUUUGAUGCAUACUUAACCCAAUCAAUUCACAUUGUAUAUAGUUUGGAUGUAGGUGGAUACAUAGAGGACACAAUUGUGGGUUCCUUAUAGAUUGAUACUAUUGUUCACAAUGGUUCAUGAACUCAAGUAGUUGAAUAGUGUUGUGUGUGUGAUUACUACUCAAAAAGUGCUAUUUGAUAGCUUAUAAUUAACUCUUUUAAACACUUUUGAGUAGUAGUUAUCACCUUUUAACCCAAUUAACAUAUUAAGGACCCUUGCAAUCAAUUCUAAUCAAAUUGUGUUAAGUUUUGGUGUUUUGAUAGCUUUUUGAUCACCAAAGCAAUCCGAGAUUGAAGAGAGUUCUUUGGAAUCCUUGGCAAAAAUGUCCGGACAGGGCGUCCGGACACACCAUCGGAGGGCGGCGGAAUAUGGGCUGUAGCAAGGCUUGCUCACAUUAGUCAAUGAUCCGUACAACAUAUCCGCAUAGGAUAUGCUAUCGUCUGGAGUGUGAUGUUCACGAGUGCUGUGUGCUUCUCCCUGAGGGAGUCCGGAUAGCAUGGCGGCGCAUGUCCUUUUGGGGAAUCCGGAUGGAGUUGCGCCGGAUAGCAAUGCGCGCUCCGUGUUAUCCGGGAGAGGGGUCCCUACACCUUGCACACGCAGACGGUCCCCCUUGCGACAUAGCUCCUUCCACCCGGGGGAAUCCGGAUGGAGUUGAUCCGGAUAGCCUUGCGGUGCGGGAUAUCUCACAUCCGGAUGAGAGAGGAGGACGUUUCAACUGCUCCGGAUAGACAUGUCCGGAUCCUUUGAUAACGCUUACCCGGAUCACUCCAAGCUGAAGGCAGAAUGUUGCACACUACCACGGAGUUCUCCUGAAGCUUCCCGAUAUUUGUCACUUACUAAGUUAGAUUUUUCCUCUCAAGAUGUUUUGUGUAAAUUUCUAUUUUCUCCUUAUAAUCAGUCAAAGAUAUUAUUAGGAUAUUUCUUAGAAAAUAUCUUCUCUAUAUAUAUCUUUGAACCAAUGUAAAGAAAAGAUAUUAUAUAUAUAUGAAACCGACGAACAGAGCACUUGCUCUGUUUUUCUUAUUUUUGUUUUCUCGUUAGUUUUCUUUCUAGUCAAUCAAACUCUGAGGAUUUUUCCUCAGAGGAUGAGUGGCUAGGCUUUUCGUCUCUUGGAGUGAAGAAAGCUGGGUAAGUUUCCUCAUGCAUAAAUUGGAAGUUUUGUUGUUUUAGUUUUUAAUGAAGAGAAAGUGUGACCCAUUAAUGGUUUUUAUCUUUUUAGUUAACUUAAAACGCCUUUAAAUCACCUGGGCCAACACUUGAUAAGGCAAGUGAUCUCCAUCCAUUGAGAUGCACUUAUUUAUCUUUUGCGAGCCUUUGGGAGGUGGUUUAGAGGUAGGAUUUUCUAGAAUAGCCAACACUUAGUAAGCUUUUGGACUCUAAGGAGGCAUCCAUUAAUUAUCUCUUGCGAGCUUUUGACGGAUAAUCCAAGGUUAAGGAUCACCUUGAAUGGCAAAUGCUAGGUGAGAGGCAUGAGCCAUUACAAAGUGCAUCAGUGAGAGGGAUUUAGUGUUUGAACCCAUUAAAGGGAAGCAUCUAUACCACACCAGUUAGAGAAUUAACUAUAUGUUAAUUCUCUAAUGCGAGGAAAAUAAACAAGUGACCAGAACUCUCCUUUUUGUAUGAGGAACCUGAGCCUAGUGAUCUAAACUCCAAGAAACACUUUUAUUUGUAAGUAAAAUCAGUUACUAUUUUUGGUUAGUUUAAAAUCAAACCUUUUUCAUUUAAACAUUUUUAUGUUUUCUUUUAAAGCUAACCUUGAAAUGAAAAGGCACCAAUUCAUCUUUGGAUUAAUAUCAAUUGUGGAGUGAAAACCCAUCCCAGUGAACGACCCUAGAGCCACUAUGCUAUGCUAGCUAAGGCUAUCCUAGUAUAUGGUGUAAUAGGUUAUAAAUUUUGUUGAUUACUCCCUUUUGAGGACCAAAAUCAAGGGACACCAGCUGGACACGUAUCAAAUGGCACCACUGUCAGGGACCAUUGAGAGAACAUGAAUCAGCUGAGACACCAAUUGGGAACGAAUCAGUGUGCUACCUCUCAUGUAGGUGGGAUAACAUGUCUAUUGCUAUUUGAGUGAUAUGUGUUCUUUUAGAUACUAUUUUGUAGGAGUUUUUAACCUUGAGGCUUACUUGGGCUAGUGUUUGACUUAGUGAUCAUUUUGAGCCACAUUCGAGUGAGACCCACAUAGAGGUUAUAUAUUAUGAUGAUCUUGAGUGGUUGUUGAUUCGACAUGUAGACUGUGUAUACCUAAGAUGGACUUCAUAAUAUCUUGCUAAGGAUAAUAUUUUUCUUUUUAGUAAUUCUAAGGUGCAUGAUUAAGGCAAAUUCUUGGUCAGGGUAAUUUUACUUGAUUACUAGAAUUGAUGUUUUCUCCUUCUAGGAUAUGGGUUAACAUCAAUUGUUUUAUAAUGACAAAUGUGAAUUUCUAACACAAAGGUUAAAGAUGUAAUUUAUUAGUGGAUCACAUAUACUAAUUGAAUCAUGAAUAUGAGUUCAUGGGAAACAAAUACAAUGAUUAGUAGUUUGUGGGAAAACUAUUAACUUUAUGUAAUUAGAUGUAAUUAGUGAAGUGCAGUCAAUUGACUUUAAUGGAGUCAACCAUUGGUGCCAAUUGGUUGGAGCUUGAAGAGAGUGGAUAAAAGUAAGGAUUAUCGAAGCAAAAUAAAACUUAAAUUUGAUUUUUCUAUCCCUUAUCUCUUUAUAUUCAUUACUCUAUAUUUGUCUAAAUUUAUUGUGUUUUCCAAAAGUUUUGAGAAACCCAAUUCAUCUUCCUCCCGAGUGAUUUUAUUAAUUAAUUAGCUUUCAAAUUCACACUAUAUAUAAAAUAAGAUAAAAAAUGAAAUAAUAUAUUUUAUUUCAUGUUUGAUUCGCAAUCAAAUUUAAGUUAUCUCAUCACUUUCUAAAUUUUAAAUAUUUUAAUUGUGAAUAUUAUUAAUAAAGAAAUAAAAAAUUACACACUAAAUUAUAAUUCUAAAUAAUACCUGACAUGUGAGAUAUUUCAAUAUUCUUUAAUAAACUUUCAUUUAAACAAAUAUUACAUUUUCAUUCAAUUUUUUGGAGAUAUCAUUUCCAUUAAAUAUAAUAUGCACAUAUAUUAUGUCUCACUAAAAUGAUAUUUUACCAUAUAUAUAGUUAUCAAACAUGGCCUAAAAUAUUUUGAUAAGGAAAGACGAGACUAGUAAAGCCUUUUAAUAUAGCCCAAUCAAAGAUGAACAUAAAUUAGUAUUGGAGAAUUUAUUUUAUUUGAAGGCAUCAAUGAGGAUUUAUUUUAUUUGAAGGCAUCAAGGAGGGGGAUAGAAAUUUCAUUAAAUUAAAAAGAAGUCGUAAGCCUAAAUUUGGUUGAUGGGAUAUAGUCAUGACUUUCCUUAUCAAAUAAUGUUUAGUUGAUAACUAUUGUUUAAAAUAGUUUUCUAUUUUUUAGAAAAAAAAAACCACGAUUAACAAAAAAAAAAAGAACACUUUAAUAUUCUUAAAAGUAGAAACAUGGUGUUUUAAUAAAACAUCUUUAAUUUUCUUGAUUUUUUUCACUUGUUUAUAAGGAUGAUUUGAAUAAAUAGUUAUACAAAUACGACAAAUGAUUAACAAUAAAAUAUUAUAUAUAAAAGUUAUUUUAAAAACAUAUUUAAAAACAUAAAAAAUAUGUUACAAAUAUUUUAGAUUCUUAAAUAAAAUUUAAUUUACAAAACAUAAAAUGCAAGAGAACAAUUUUUAAAAAUUGUUUUUUAAAACUAUUUUUGAAAACACUUCCAAUAGAUAUAACCUUAUUAACUUAAUAGCACUCAAAGAUAAUGUAGGACCAACUAAGUCUGCAGAAUUGGAUAAAAGACUACUUCCAAAAGUAGAAAAACCAAAACAAGUUUUGAAAACGAGCCCUCCAAAAUUGUUAACUCUCAACUAUAAUGAUUCAACAAAGAUGAAAUGAUCAAGCCUUAAGCUAGCUUGUGUGGGAAGCCUCGCUCCACGUGUUCUUCCCAAGCUCAAGACCUUUUGGCUGUCCAAGGUAAAUAGAUAAUCCAUCUGGUCCAAGUUAAGCUUUGUUUGGUGCAAAAGGAGAGAUAGAUUUCCUUUUCCCCCAAUGCUAGACGAAAUGGACAAACCAAGUUGACCGGGACUUCCAAAUAGACAAACCAACCCAAUAGGAAAUUCUAGACAUUGGAUAGAUGAUUAAUCACACCCAAUGCUUGAGUGAUAAUCUAGAUGACAUUUACACCUAAAAAUCAAUGUCAAUCAAUCGUUACACGCAAUCAGCAACAUUGACAAAUGUAAAUGCAUAGUCAAGGAUAUGGUUUGAGAUUCUUGUACGACAACCAAUAAAUGACACCAAUCAACAAUUCUUGUUUGGUAUGAUUGUCUAUUCCGCAUUGAGAUGAUGGCAUUGACUACCUUAUUAAGGCUUAGUAUCCACCACGACGAUGAUCAUCAAUGCAAGAAAUACAUGAAUGCACAAUCAACGCUAUGACGAUGACUCCAUAUGUUCUAUAAAAAUCCCUUGAGAAGUAUGAAAAAUGUAUGCACACGUAUAGCCAUUCAAAACAGUUAGAUUCACUCUUGCUAGAUUCUAACUUAAGUUUCGGAGGGACGUGCUCGGACCACCUGUCCAAACAUCUUUUUGUGCGUGAAAGAAGUAUGACUAACUCUAAUGAAGCUAGACAGACCUGUAUCUAGUUGACACAACACCAAUAUUGGCAUCGUCUAUGGGAACCGACUAAGGAUGUCAACACCCUCCAGAAACCAAUCAUCAACUAUGGAUGAAAAAGAUUGUUUUUUCUGGUGCGAAACAAUGGAGAGACGCCAACGAGAAAAUGAAUGGUAGAUGUAGACUCUACAUCACCAAACGGAACGACUAAGAGAAGAGAAUGAAGAAUUGCGGGCUCAAAUGUCAAUAGUGGGCUUUUCUUAAAGUCAGCACACUUAAAACAGAUAAACAACAUCAAGACGAACUAUUGAGGCAUUUUUCCUCAAGGGCAAAGAGUUCUCCUCCGAUAGCUACUCGAGAUGAUCCAAGAAGGAGCCUUCGUCAGCUCAUCAAACGUAGCUGGACGAAGACACUAACUCCACUUAGGCAUCAAGGAAAAUGAGGUGUGGAAGAGGGUCACAUUUAUCUGACACAAUGUGAGUCCAACUAAGACCUCAAGCACCAGGCGUGGAGGAACCAUGUAUGUCAGAGACCCUAAGGGCAUGUCUAGGUCAGCUAACUACAACAAAUACAUUUGGAUGACCCUCUCAACUACCAAAGCAGCAGUAGGUGGAAGUAUCGGCGGUGCGAGCCCCUGCCUGACUCUAUCAGUCAACAAUUGGAUGACAUACUCUCCACGUCGUUUGACCCCCAUAUCAUUAACUAAGAGUCGCCUAGAGGGUUCGUAGUGCCCAAGUUCAUAAUGUACGACAUAACGAGCGACUCUUUUGACCACAUUAUGCACUUCAGGAAACUCAUGACCCUUGACAUAGGGAAUGAUUCACUGAUGUGCAAAGUCUUUCUUACCAGCCUACAUGGCUAAGCUCUCUCCUGGUUCCACCGUCUCUCACAUAAUUCCAUAAACACUUUUCGGGACAUCUCGGAAGCCUUUGUAUGCCAUUACCUAUGUUAUGCUCGCCAAAAGCAGAACAUAACCACCCUAUAGAACAUCAAGUUGCAGGAAAAUGAGACGCUAAGGGACUUCAUGAAGAGGUUCAGGCAAAUAGUGUUCCAAGUUGAAUCCUGCAGUAUAGUUGCCAUUCUGCAGAUCUUCAAGUGAAGCAUCAGCCCAUGCACGCCAUUUUUCAAGUCUCUUGUGAAGAAACUGCUUACAAUGAUGGAUGACCUGUUCAGGCGAGUAAACAAGUAUUCUAUGCUCUAAGAUGAUGUCCGACCAACCUCUCAACAAGUCUUGAUCACUAAUCAUCUGUCUAAGAAUGAUAAGACAAGGAGUUCUAAGCCCUUGAACCAAUCGAGGCAAGUUAAAAAGAGACGAGACAGCUGGCAGCAUCAUUAAGUGAGACUCACCCUCCUAAGCAUCUCUUAUGAAAGACUCAUCCCAAAAAUUUGUAACUUGUUGGGCUUCAAAUGGCCGAAGUAAAUAAAAAAAAAUUCGGCUAGAUGGGAUUGGAAUAGAAUAUGCUCCUACCAUAAGGAUCACGAUCACACCACCAAACAGUGCAAGAGUUUGUAUUACUUGGUAGAAAAACUUAUCAAUGUCAGGAACCUUAAGCAAUACGUUCGCACAACCAACGGGCAAAGAGAAGUGGCACUAGAGGUAACCGUCCAAGCCCCUGCAUCUCUGGCAGCUCCUAGAGUUGUCAUUAACUAUAUACACCAAGGUCCAAUAAAUGAUAAGCACAACUUUAGGCGGCAAAGAUGAAGGUUGUUUCACUCGAUUUUUGUAAGAGAAUGGAUUAACUCCGUUCAGCACACAUUCACAGAAGGAAGUAUGCGUCUAGUCGAUGGCAUAAUCACAUUCCCUCAAAUAGAUGUCAAUCAAGGUGUUACAACAGCAUGAAGACGCCUUGAUCCUAAUAUUGGGGGUAGAUGGAUUUGAUGUGCAGAUAAUCCUAGUUGAUUCGGACAGUUCAACUGACCUCUUGCAAAUGUUGACCUAUGGGCAAAUGGGCUACUUGCCAUCUACCCUAGAGAAUCUAGGACGUUUCCUGUUUGGAUUUAAUGAAGCUACAAUAACCUUUUUGGGUGAUGUUGUGUUGUCCAUCCAAGCCGACUUGGUCACACUAAGCAUGCAAUUCUCGAUGGUCGAUGAUUUGUCUUCAUAUAAUGCUAUUAUAGGACGUGCAUGGCUUCACAAAAUGAAAGUCAUUUCUUCUACAUACCAUCAAAUGGUGAGUUACCUCAUAGAUGAGGGAUAAGUCGAUCUCCAUGGCAGCUGGUUAGCCGUGCGACAAUGCUAUCAAGUGACGCUAAAGUUCGAACAUUCGGUCGGUAAAGAGGCGCAUUCGGAGCCAUCAAAUGCAAGAGAGCAAUAACAGUUAUUGAGUCCAACGAAGAAAGAUCCAUUUGCGGCUGAUUUGCUCCAAUCACUAUUCCUCUCACACGACAUAGAUCAAAUCACUUACACUAGUUCCUUACUUGCGUAAGAUGAAUUGGAACUGCUAAGGAAUAUGCUUUAGCACAAUAAAGACAUCUUUUCCUGGACUCAAUCGGAUAUAUCGAGAAUACAUUUGGUCAUGGUCUCUCACAAGCUUAACGUCUUACCCACCUCGCGGUUUGUUCGACAAAAGAUCCGGUGUUUUCAUUCAGACAGAUAAAAAAAUCAUCUAGAUAGUAAUUGACAAACUAUUAGCAGUUGUAUUCAUCAAAGAAUUCAAAUAUUCAGAUUGGUUGGCCAACGUGGUGGUAGUCCUAAAGAAAUAUGGAAGGUGGUGAGUCUACGUUGAUUACACCAACUUAAAUGAUGCCUACCCAAAUGAUAACUUUCUCUUGCCCCGAAUAGAUCAAAUAGUCAACGCCACCACCAGGCAUGGGAUGCUCUCCUUUUUAAACGUCUUUUCCAGAUACCACAAGAUCCCUAUGUUUCAGCUAGAUGAAGAGAAAAUGGUAUUUGUCACAACACAAGGACUGUAUUGUUAUAGAGUCAUGCUGUUUGGACUCAAGAAUGUUAGCACUACCCACUAGAGACUAAUGAAAAAAAUCUUCAAGCCCCUGAUCGGCCAAACUGUGGAAGUCUACAUUAAUGACAUUGUUGUAAAGAAAGAAACCCGAGCUGAGCACGUCUAGUACUUGGAAGAAGCAUUUUGUCUUAUGCGGGCAUACAACAUGAAGCUCAAUUCAACUAAGUAUGCCUUCGGCGUUAGUGUAGGGAAGUUUCUAGGGUUUAUCGUAACCUAAAGAGGAAUUGAAGUUAAUCCAACUCAAGUGAAAGUCGUCCUCGAAACACCCGCUCCAAGUAGCAAAAAGGAAUUGCAACGCUUCACAGGUCAUCUCACAACUUUGGGUCGUUUCAUAGCUCAUUUCAUAGAUAAACUGAGACAUUUCUUCAUCACACUUAAACAGGCAAACAUGUUCAACUGGAUAGACAAGUGUAAGUAGGCAUUUGAAGCAGUCAAAUGCUACCUCACUAAACCACCCAUUCUAAGCAGCCUCAAGUCCAGUGAAGAACUCUACAUGUAUUUGGCCAUAUCUGACUGCGUUGUCAAUGUCGUCCUAUUUCGGCAUAUACGAGAUAGGGAGUAGAGACUCAUCUAUAUGUGAGCAAAACAAUGGUGGAUGUUGAGACUCGGUAUUCCCAAGUAGGGAAAACUGCUCUAGCACUAAAGAGUGUUGCUCGAAAGCUUCGCCCAUACUUCCAAGUUCAUCAAGUGACUGUACUUACAAACCAGCCGCUCUGAGUCACCUUGCACAAGUCGGACCUAUCCGGAUGAAUGUUGAAAUGGGUAAUGGAGUUGAGUGAGUAUGGGAUCAAGUAUUAGUCAUGGUUAUCCUUAAAGGACCAGGUUAUAGCCGACUUUAUAGCUGAACUCCCUAAAAAACAAACACAUGCGAUCGACCGCCCUAGAAAGCAAUGGUAGACACUUCAUGUAGAUGGAGUGUCUAGGGUGUUUGGAUCUAGAGUAGGUCUGGUCCUGCAGUCACCAACAAGGGAACUAAUAGAGCAAGCUAUCCAUAUCAGUUUCUCGACUUCCAACAACGAGGCAGAAUAUGAAGUUGUGCUAGCUGGGCUAGAUCUUGCCCUAAUGUUAGCCGCAACCAAGUUGGAAAUCAGGAGUGACUCUUGGCUAAUUGUCAAACAGAUUCAACGAGAGUAUGAAGCAAAGGAUGAAUGUAUGACCGAAGCAAAGGAUGAAUGUAUGACCCAAUACCUCGCCAUGGCGGAAGAACACUUGAAAAAGCUAAAUGAGUGGAUCAUCACAUGGGUGCCACAAUAGGAGAAUAGAAAGGUCAACACAGUAGUUGGAAUAGUUGCCACUCUCCCCAUAAAUGAGACGAUAAUGUUGUCCAUCUACCUCAAAGUCAUGCCUUCAAUCACUCCCAGGCCAAUAUGCAAUACCAAUAAAACAGACUUAGGAUGGAUGCUCGACAUCAUAAAGUAUCUCUAGAUAGGGAAAGUACCAAAAGAUAGGAAGCAAGCACACAAACUCCGCAUACAAGCAACACACUUCACUUUAAUUAAUGAUCAACUUUAUAAAUGAUCAUUCAAAAGCCCAUACCUAAAGUGUUUGAGUGAGUCAGAGGCCAAGUAUGUCCUAGUCAAACUCCAUGAGGGUGUACGCGGCAAUCACCUAGGCAUAUUAACUUUGGCACACUGUGCCUACAUGCAAGGAUACUAUUAGCCCACCAUGAAGCAGGACACUGAAAGCUAUGUUAAAAGAUGCAAUUGUUGUCAACAAUACGCUCUCAUUCCCUGUGUACCUUCGAAAGCCCUCAACUUGGUCACAAUUACUUGGCCGUUUGCGUAGUGGGGGAUGGACAUAGUUGGCCCCUUACCCACUAGAGUAGCACAAAAGAAGUUUUUGCUCAUUGCAAUUGACUACUUCAGUAAGUGGGUGGAGGCAAAAGCCUAUGAGAGUAUCAAAGACAAAGAUGUCUCCAAGUUCAUUUGGAAAAACAUCGUAUGCCAAUUUAGAAUUCCAUGAGCAAUCGUAACGAAUAAUGGGCCCCAGUUUGACAGCACAGUUUUUCGAACAUUUUGCUCAAAGCUAAACAUUAAGAAUUUGUACUCAACACCCUGUUAUUCACAAAGCAAUGGACAAAUAGAGGCGACAAACAAAACCCUAUUGAAUGCAUUGAAGAAAAGAUUGGAAUGAGUGAAAGGAAAAUGGGUAGACGAGGUUUUAGCUUUGGGCAUUAGUCGUUUCACCCCUGUUUUGUUUCAUCGUUGGAAAACGAAGAUGAUAGAGAAUAUGAAGAUGAUGAAGUAGACGAUGAAGACAGAGUGGUAGGAGACAGAUUUCUUGCCUUUUGGAUGGGAUGAGCGACAUACUUCUUCUUCUAGACAGGAGGACAAACAAUGGAGUUAGAAGUCAAAUGAUUAAUAGUUGGAGAUUUCCUCAAUGUUCCCUCCUAACGCUUCUUCUCCCGUUUCUCUAGACGAGCCUGACGUGCUUCAGAAUCCACCAAACAAGCAACCUCAUGGAAAAACAAAUCCUUCAGCACAAAAUGUUCGUCAGGUACCAGAGACGAAGGAGCUAGCCAGGGAAACACUGAGAUGAUAAAUGACUUGGGAUUUUUUAUCAACACAUGCAGGUUCUUGUUCGAUAUGAGAAUGCUGUGAGCCCGUUUAAUAGCAUCUAUUUCAAACAACUUGUUAAGACGGACGAAUGAAACCUUCUCCACCCACUCUACAAGGAGUCCUCGCCUUUCCUUACCUACAUUAAACGAACAUAAAGAUCAUGAGUAGAUUAGCAACAAGGAGGAAAUAACCACAAGACGAAAUGAAAGUGAUAGAAACAUAGUCUACUCGAAAUCUUCUACGACCACUGUAGAGAAAAAACUUUGUUCGGGCCAUCAGACAAACUGCUCCAAGGGCUAGACACCAAAACAUGCCCCUUAGCCUACCUUUGUUCAAGUCUUGAAGAUUGGUCACCAACUAGAGGGAAGGAAUGUGGGCAGACAAGCUAAACCUCUUAUUUUGGCUCAUUUUGACUGUAUAGAUGAACACAACUUCCAACAUGGAAAGAUCUAACUGGAAAAGCAUGUACAACACACUACAUCCCAUCAGUAUUCGGGUGAUGUUUGGAUGAAGAAAGAUUGGAGAGAUUUAUGUGAAGUGAAGAAAUUGUUUAAAGAGGGAAGGAAGGGGGAGACAGAGCCUUACAACAAAAUGCUCCUUGGUAAAAUAUAUCAUGUUAUUCGGAAGGUCGACGGAUGAUAGAGCCUUGACAUCUAUUAGUUGAAUUGGAAUGGUAUCCGGAAUACAAAAACGAGCCCAAAAUUCUCACUCAAAUAGGACACCAACUGGACGGUCCGGUCUAAGGUGGCUGACUCUAGUAUUUUUCUAUCCACCUUGUUGAGGUCUUUCGUUGGCAGAAGUAACUCCUUGUUUGUCCAUUAGACUAAAUGGAUCUGGGUCAUGUGGAAACCUGUGCGAUCAACAUAGUUGUUAGAAUCAAUCACUCGACCCAUCCAUCGUUUGACGUUGCCUUAGUGACAUAUAAAUAAACCUAGAUGGACUAUAGUCAUAGUUUAGACAAAUUUAGCUGCCAAAACUUAUAGAACAAGCUCCUUCACCGAUGACAACAAAAAACGUGAGACGACGAAGCAAAUACAAUGACGACAUAGAAGCGAGCAGGGGGGUCGAAAAACGCUAAAUCUGGGCAUCAAUACGUCCAUAUCCUGCCCAAGAAAACAACAGGAGUGAUCAGAGAGGCUGAAAAGCCCAAAAUCUGGACAUCGGUAUGUCCAUUUUCUCUCCAAACAAACAAGACCAACACAAUUCGAGAAACAAUAACAAACACUACAAAUGAACAAACAGAUGGUAGAAAACUUACCAAAGUCAAGACUGAAACACUCUCUAGUGGAUAAGAAAUCCUUUGAUAGCAAACUUAUUGGCAACGACGAUGAAGGCAAAUGGGAACAACUAGUGGUAAGCAUAGUGAUGAUGAAAAAACAAUGCAUGCAAGAGAACACUAAGUGAGAGAAAACCAAAAGGUGAACCAAAUGGGUGGAACCUCACUAUUUAUAGGGAACAAAAAACCUAGGUAGCCUAAGAGACACGCCGUCUAGCAACACUUACCAAGAUUAGUGAAAUGACACAUCGCCUAACAGCCAGCCUUGGUCGAUGUGACCCAUCAUUAAAUCACCAAAUGACACGCAUCCCUUGGCACUCAAAAACUUGAAAAAACAGAUAAUUCAUCAUGUCCCAGCUCGUCAGCUACCCUAUCGGACAGAGGCAGACAGAUUAGGGGACAUUGUGGGAAGCUUUGUUGCACGUGUCCUUCCUAAGCUCAAGAUCCUUUGGUAGUCCAAGAUAAACAGAUAAUUUGUUUGGACCAAGUUAAAUUUCGUCUAGUGCAAAAGGAGAGAUAGAUUUUCUUCUUCCCUAAUUGUAAAUAGAAUGGACAAACCAAGCUGGCUAGGACUUCUAGAUAUGCAAACUAACCCAACAAGAAAUUUCAAGCAUUAGAUAGAUGAUUAAUCACACCCAAUGCUUGAGCGACGAUCUAGAUGACAUUUACACCCAAAAAUCAAUGUCAAUUAGUCGUUACACGCAAUUAGUGACAUUGACAAACAUAAAUGCACAAUCAAUGAUAUAGUAUGAGAUUCUUGCACGACAACCAACAAAUGGCACCAAUCAACAACUCUUGUUUGGUAUGAUUGCCUAGUCCGCGCUGAGAUGAUGGUAUUGACUACCUUAUUAAGGCUUAGUAUCUGUCACAACAACGAUCAUUAGUGCAAGAAAGACAUGAAUGCAUAAUCAACAUUGUGAAAAUGGUGCCAUAUGUUCUAUAAAAACCCCUCGAGAAGCACGAAAAAAGUAUGCGUGCGUAUAGCCAUUCAAAAUAGAUGGAUUCACUCUUACUAAAUUUUGACUUAAAUUUUGGAGAGGUGUGUUUAGACCACCUGUCCGGACAUCCUUUUGUGUAUGAAAGAAGUUUGAUUAACUCUAGUGAAGUUAAAUGAACUGUAUCCAGUUUGCACAACACCAACAACUUGGCUUCGUGUACUUGAGCCAACUCUUUCCCUUUUUCAUCAUUCCACUGCACUUUUAGCUCUGGCUUUCUCUGCCCUCUAGACAUUCCACCUCAUCUCGUAUGCAACAAACCAUUCAACUUUCCGUCACCUUCUACAAUAGCAACCUCUUAUGCUCGCCCCACCACUGAUGGUGCCUCAUUGCUACACAAACCAGUGUACUUGAAGUUGGUAUCCAUUAAUGCUGGAAAUGAACAUAGCCUUUUCUAUUGUCUCAGUUCACCAAUUUUCUAGGAAUGGAAAAAAUAAACCUUAAAAAUGGAAGAAAAUCCAUGAUCGUUCCCAGUCAUUGAAGGUCAAGAUCGGGUGAAUCAAAACCUUAAGGCUACAUUUGGUUUUUGGAAAUUACUAAGAAAAGAAAAAAAAGGCUAAGAAAAAUUAUUUUCUUAUUUGGUUUCAACAUGAAAAAUAUGAAAAAAAGAAGUUAAAGUAUAAUUAAAAUUAGUAAGAAAUUUAUAUAUUUUCAAAUUAUAUAAUUUUUAGGCAAAAGAGGAAAAAUAAGGAAAAUGAAUUUAAAGUAGCAUAUAAAAUAAUUUAUUAAUUUUAAAUCUUUUUUUUCUUCAUAUUUUAUGGGAAUGAACCAAAUAUAGCCUUAAUGUCUUGCGAAAGUAUAUGGUUUCAUUUACAAUAAAAGAGUUGUUUAUGAUCCUACGAAGAAAGAAAAUUACAAAUUAAUGUAAUUCCCUAUUACAUGGUACAAGUAUUCUUAUAGUCUAUUUGACAAUAAUUUUAAAAAGCACUUUUAGUCUAACAAAAUGUUUUUUUUUUUAAAUGUUUGACAAAAUUUAGGAAACAUUCUUAAAAAUCUAAAAAAUCACUUGUAUUGGAAAAUCAUAACAUUUUAUGGAGAAACACUUGAUGAACGAUUUUGUAUAAAUAUUUUUAGAAAAAAACACUUCUACUAAAAAAAAUUCGAAUAGAAACACAAUCAAACACACUCUUAGUAACUUCAUACAUGGUUCACAAGGUAAAGCUUACUUGGUUUCAAAUCAAAAUUUAUGAUAAUUAAUUUUUAGCUGAAUUUUAAUUUUAGUACAAAGUGGGUUCUAUUUAUUAAACAUAUAAUUUUUUGACAUCUUGUGAAAGAUUAUUUUUAUUUUUGGAAAUUUAAUUGUUAGAGAAAUUAACUUUACAAUUUUCCUAUUAAUAAAAUAAUUUAAAAAUUGUUCACCUUUUAAAACAACUUAUCUUAUUAAAAUGCUAAUAAAUUUUGUGUGCUUCUAAAUGAAAAAAAUCAAAUAAAACCCACAGCCAAACCCUUUGUAGAACGCUUCCAAAAUUGAUCAUAUCCUAUUGAGAGUUACUUAUGUACAACUUUAGCCCUAAGGCAUUUAAUGCUAGAACUGAUUAUUGUCCAAAUUUAGUUUGGAUGGUUGUUUUAUUUUAUUUUAUUUUUGGAAAAUUAGGCUUAAAAUAGAAACAAUAAAAUAUAAAUUUAAUGAUCUCAAAUCUUCCUAAAGAAAAAUGAAAACUUUUUUCUAAAAAAGUGAAAAUAAAAAAGGAAUAAAAUCACAUAAAAGAUUUAGGACUCAAAUAUAAAAGGAAUAAAAUAUUAUAAAUACCAAACAAAUAUCGUUACGCCUCAAAUUUUUGGUAAUCACUCAUGACUCUAGAUAAAAGAUUUGUCCCUAAGGUUACUCUUAUCUAAAUUAGCAAUCAAUCCUGAGAACAUGAUUUUUCUUGAACAAAUCUUCAUCAAAUCUCAAAUAAAUUUAUCAAUCUAAGAUUUAUGAAAUAAUUUUUUUUUUCUUUGUAAAACCAACCAUCAUUUAUUCACAAGUAUAAUUAAUCUACUAAUCAUUUUACUCCUAGAAUUCAGGGCGUUAUCUUGAUAAUUAACCUGAUUUUUUUAAAAAUAAAUUGAUAUCAAAUCUCAAAUAAAUUUAUUAAGCUAAGAUUUAUAGUAUGAUUUUUUUUCUUUAUCAAACCAACUAUAACUUGUUCACAAGUAUAAUAAAUCUACUAAUCAUCUUACUAAAAGUGAUAACCCAAAUAUCUACAAUAAUCUCUAAGUCCAAAAUAUUUCCAAAACUGUUUUACAAAAAUAACAAAAUAUGAUAUAAGUUACAAAAGUCCAUAUAACUCACUUUAGUACAUGUAAAAAAUGUAAUGUAAAUUAAAAACAACCAUUAUUAUUAUUCCUUUACUUUCUAGGAUUUUUUGAAACACUCCCAGAUUUUCUUAUUAUUCCUCAUAAAUUAUAUUUGUAUCUAAAUAUUUUAGAAAGUAAAGGGAUAAAGAUUUUCACGUUACUCAAUAGGGUGCCUUACACCCAAAUAGGUUUUUUUUUAAUACUUAAGUUAAUAUAAUACAAUCAUAUACCAAAAAUUUAAUAUUACAUUUACAUUAUAUAUAUAUAUAUAGAUAGAUAGAUAGAUAGAUAUAUUAAAUAAAACCUUAAUGUUGUAAAUUUAUAAAGUGAAAGGAGAAGAAAAUAAGAAAGAGAAAUUAGAACGUAAGAAGAGAAUGAAAUAAUUUCAUUAGAGGUGUCUCCCUUUUAUAGGGAGUCACAAAGAGAUAUACAUCAAAAUGGAUAAUCAUCCACAAGUUCCCAUAAUCCGAUAAAUUCUCAUAUUUUAUAACACUCCCCCUUGGAUGAUCAUAAGAAUAUGCCUCAUUAAAACCUUACUAGGAAAAACCCUAUGGGAAAAAACCAUAGUGAAGGAAAAAGAGUACAAUAUUCUUUUGGAUUACUAUAACUGCCUUGUUAAAAACCUUGCCAGUAAAACCUAUUGGGACAAAACCUAGACGAAAGAAAAAAGAGUGCAGUAUCCAUAUUAUCAUUCUCCCCCUCAUGUAAACAUGAUUAUGAUUUCUUCAACAUUUCAAAUGGUAGAUAUCUCAAUCUUCGCAUUCCAAUGUGAUACCUUAACUUUUUCAAUGUAGUUGAAGGUAACGCCUUUAUGAAUAGAUCUGGUAGAUUAUUGCAUGACCGAAUUUGUUGAACAUCGAUCUCACCUUUCUUUUGGAGCUCAUGAGUAUAGAAGAAUUUAGGGGAGAUAUGCUUAGUUCUGUCACCUUUUAUGAAUCCUCCUUUAAUUUGUGCAACACAAGCAACAUUAUCUUCAUGUAACACGGUUGCAUUGGCUAUGAUGGAAGGUAGUCCACAUGUUUCUUGUAUAUGUUGGAUCAUUGACCUUAGCCAUACACAUUUACGACUUGCUUCAUGAAUUGCAAGAAUUUCUGAAUGAUUUGAUGAUGUGAUCACCAUUGUUUGUUUGAUAGAUCUCCAUGAGAUAGCAGUACCAUUAUAAUUAAACACGUACCAUGUUUGUGAAUUACCUUUAUAUGGAUCUGAAAGAUACUCUACAUUUGCAUAUCCAAGCAAUUGUUGCUUUGAUUCCCUUGAGUAAAAUAGGCUCAUAUUAGUAGUUUGUCAAAGAUAACGCAAUAUAUGUUUGAUACCAUUCCAAUGUCUUCGAGUUGGAGCGGAACUGUAUCUUGCUAAUAAAUUGACAGAGAAAGUAAUGUUUGAAUGUGUACAAUUGGCAAGAUACAUAAGUGCACCAAUAACACUAAGAUAUGGUACUUUAGGACUAAGUAAUUCUUCAUUUUUUUUUGCAAUGACAAAAUGGGUCAUGUUUCACAUCAAGUGAUCUAACAACUAUUGGAGAACUUAAAGGAUGUGCUUUAUCUAUAUAAAAACGCUUCAAAACUUUCUUAAUGUAUGUUGAUUGAUGCACUAAAACUCCUUUUGGAAAAUGCUCGAUCUGCAGGCCGAGACAAAAUUUUGUUUUUCCAAGAUCUUUCAUCUCAAAUUCCUUUUUCAACUAAUUUGUUGUUCUUGUGAGCUCUUCAAGAGUUCUAAUAAGAUUUAAAUCAUCAACAUACACUGCAAUAAUUGCAAAUCUGGUUUCUAAUUUCUUAAUGAAGAUGCAUGGGCAUAUAGGGUUAUUCAUAUACCCUUUUUUUAGCAAGUAUUCGCUAAGACGAUUGUACCACAUGCAUCCAAAUUGCUUUAAUCCAUACAAGGAUCGUUGUAACUUGAUUGAGUACAUGCUACGAGGCUUUUUACAAUUUGCUUCAGGCAAUUUAAAUCCUUCAGGGAUUUUCAUGUAUAUAUCAUUAUCCAUGGAUCCAUAUAAAUACAUUGUAAUAACAUUCAUGAGACACAUAUCUAUUCCUUUUGGGACUGCCAAUUAAAUUAAGAAAUGAAAUGUGAUUGCGCCUGUGACGAGAGAGAAUGUUUCUUCAUAGUCAAUACCAGGUUUCUGCGAGAAACUUUAUGCUACUAAUCACACUUUAUAUCUUAUGAUUUCAUUAUUCUCAUUGCAUUUUCGUAUAAAUACCCAUUUGUACCCAACAGACUUUGCAUCCUCAAGUGUUUGGACUAUAGGUCCAAAAACUUCUCAUUUUGUUGAUAAGUUUAAUUUUGUCUGUAUAACUUCUUUCCAUUUUGGCCAAUCAUUUCUAUGUCAGCAUUCUUCCACAUUUCAUGGUUCAGGAUCUUCAUCAUUUCUUAUGGAGGCAACUUGGAAAAUGAAAAUAAUAUUAUUUUGAUCCCAUUUUUCUCCCAUGUAUACAUAACUUAUUGAGAUCUCACAAUCUUCAGGUACCUAUGCCUCUUCAGGGUCUUUUCAUUUAAUAUGUGCCUCUUCAAGGGCUUCUUGCUCAAUAUGUGCCUUUUCAAGGGCUUUUUGUUCAAUAUGUGCAUCUUCAAGGGCUUCUUGUUCAAUAUGUGCCUCUUCAGGGGCUUCUGCAUUAUUUGUGCCUCUUCUAGGGCUAUAGAUUUAUCAAUUUUAAACCGAUUAGUUAUUUUUUAUGGCCUCUUUUAGAGUGUUAAGUUUUUCUUGGGUUCUCCUCUUCUGGGAAGUUACAUCCUUUGAGCCGACAGGUCUACCAUGCUUCAGGCGUAUCUUAAUUAAUUUGUUAACUAUCCUACAGGGACAUCAAUCCGUGUUGGAGUAUUUGCAGUCGGGAUAUAUGACUUUGUUACUUUCUUUGUAUCAAUGAAUGCAUUUUGCAAUUGAUUUGCAAGAUUUUGUAAAUGAAUGAUCCUUGAACUUCUAGUUCACAUUGAUUUGUAUGAGGAUCAAGAUGAGGCAAAGUCAAUGCAUUGCAAAUAAUUUCACGCCGUUCUUUUGGAACUGGCUUUUCUCCCCCUAACGGUGGGAAAAUUGUCUCAUUAAAAUGAUAAUUUGCACAACAUGUCAUUCUACCUUUUAAGUAUAUAGGUAGACUAGUCACUAAAUAAAAACUUCUGGUUUUAUAAUGUACAUCCAUAUGACCUUUUACCCUGGGGCACCAAGUUGGUCUUACAAGAUUCUUCUGGAUCUAUCAUCGUAUAAAGUGUCAUUCCCAUGGAAUCAAAUACUACUAGUGACAUAGUAUAAGCUCUUCUGGAGCCUUUAAUUAGGUUUCUAUCACCUUAUAUAGUAUUAACAUUGUUUGUCAUCAAUGUUGUGCAAUUAAUGAGACAAGAGUUUCAUCAAAGUAACAAGUCAUAAGACAUUGUCAUAAAGACUUCUUCUUUAUAGAGUUGAAUAAAUAUUAUCAUAGAGAAAAAGUUAAAAUCAAUGGAAAAAUAUUAGUCAUCGAUGAUAACUUAAUAUGUUGUGUAAAAGUGAUGAGAGCAUAUAUAACACAAUAAAACAAAUAUCUAAAGAUAAUUUAAAGUUAUAUAUUUCAUAAGUAUCUCACACAUUUGAUUUUGUAAGUGUGGAGCAAUUUAUACAUGAAACAACUAGGAAGUAUUUCAAUAAUCAGACUAAUUGUAGUGAUGGAUCAAGGUAUGAGAGAGAUCCAUGUAUCUUCAAGUAUAAAUAAAGAAAAGAAUAUAAAUGAUAAAUAAUAAAAUGUGAAAUAAACUAUAAAAGAUGAACAAUAAACAAUGUGUUCAAAUAUGAUAACAAAAUUAACCUAUUUGCAAAGAACUAAAUAAAAACAUAACGUUUAAUCAUAACAAACAUUUUCAUCACCAAUUAUAUGGUCAAUUUCCCCAUUAGGAUUUUCAAAGAAAUCUGAAACAUCUAAAUGGGUUAGAUCUACUUGGCCAUCACUAUCAAUGAAGUUCAUUUCAACUUCAUUUCCUUUUAUUGAUGUUUGGUAAAGGUCGACCACAUGUUUGGGCGUACGACAGGUACGCGACCAAUGCCCCUUCAUACCACAUCUAUAACACUUAUUCUCAUGGUUCUUAGGAGGUUUAUCUUGUAAACACUUCCCAUUUUCUUGUUUUACCUUAGUAUUAUUCCACUUCUAGUGGUGCAAUGAGGCUUUCCUUUUCUGAGAAUUUGAUGAAUUUGCUACAAGAACCAUGAUAUCAGGGAUUUCUUCCACGACCACGUCCUUGUCACCGUCCACGAGUUUGGGACAAUAUUGCAUUCACUUCAGGGAAUGAUUCAAAUCUAGUUGGACGAGACUGGUGAUUUCUCAUCAAAAACUCCUUUUUUUUUUAAACCUUCAUGGAGAUGAUGACGAAGGAAAAUCAGUAUUUUUGCGCGAUCCUAUAGGGAUGCUUGAUUUCCUUCUUUGAUCAUAGCUCCAAGAUUCAUUGACAAUUUUGUUUUGAAUAACUUCUUGUUAUACAAGAGAAUUAGAAAUUGUAUGCAUAACUUCUGGUUAGGAAACAAUUGUUAAUAGAAAUUGUUUUCCAUAAUUCCUAUUGUGAAAAAUAAGUGAGUAUGAAAUAAAAAUUAAAAGUCAAUAUUUUUCAUAACUUUGAAUUAUGAUUAUUUUGUCAAAAUAAGAAAAUAUUCAAAUUUGUACAUAGGUUCAGGUUAUGAACUAUUUAUGUAUAACUUCUAGUUACACAAAUAAUUAAAAUAAAUUAAAGAAAUUAAAAGUUAAUAUAUUUCAUAGCUUCAGGCCAUGAUUACUUUGUCAAAACAAGAAAAUAUUUAAAUUUGUGCAUAGCUUCAGGCUAUGAACUGUUUUUUUUAUAUAAAUUUGUAUAUAGCUUCAGGCAAUGAACUACUCAUUGGGCAGAUUUGUGCAUAGCUUCGGGCCAUGAACUUUCAUUAUGUAAAUUUGUACAUAACUUCAGACUAUGAACAUUUAUUUAUUUAUUUAUUUUAUAGCUUCUAGCUAUAAUAUUGUUUGGUAUAACUUCUAGUUAUACCGUAUAAUUAAGGAUCGUAUACAUAACUUCUAGUAAUGUAUUUGUAAUGUUAUAAUUUUCCAUAUAACUUUUGGUUAUAGGGAUUGCACAUAUUUUUCAUAACUUCUGGUUAUGAAUUUACCCCAUAAUUUAUCCCAUAACUUCUAGUUAUAGGAAUUGCACAUAUUUUUUUCAUAACUUCUGGUUAUGAAUUUAUCCCAUAAUUUAUAAUUUAUCUCAUAACUUCUGGUUAUAGGAAUUGUACAUAUUUUUCAUAACUUCUGGUUAUGAAUGUACCCUAUAAUUUAUAAUUUACCUCAUAACUUCUGGUUAUAGAGAUUAUACAUAUUUAUGUAUUCAAAUAAAAUAUAUGAAAAUAGAGAUCAAAAGGUAAUAAAAUAGAAAAUCAUGAUAUAAGUUUAUCACAUACCUUUUUGUGAGAAAGAAGAGAGAAAGUCUUUCUAUUUGUCUGAAGGGAAAAACAUCUUUCUAUUUCUCUAAAGAGAAGAAAGUCUUUCUUAUUUCUUUUGUAGAGACUAUUCGUGCUGAUAAUGUGUUGUAAAAUUAUAAAGUGAAAGGAGAAGAAAAUAAGAAAGAGAAAUUAGAACGUAAGAAGAGAAUGAAAUAAUUUCAUUAGAGGUGUCUCCCUUUUAUAGGGAGUCAUAAAGAGAUAUACAUUAAAAUGGAUGAUCAUCCACAAGUUCCCAUAAUCCGAUAAAUUCUCAUAUUUAUAACACUAAUUACAUUUUUAUGAAGUUUUAUUUUAUUUUAUAUUUUUAUGAAUUUUGGUCAAUUUUAAGCUUAUCGAUAUUUUUUUCCAAAAUAUCCGCCGAUAUAUCUCCGAUAUAUCCGAUAUAUCUGUAAAAUCGAAGUACUGAUAUAUUCGUGAUUAUUGAUAUUUUCAUCAUUGACUCAAACACACUCUCAAUUUGGAGCUUUCUCGGGAUAAACUUUUGGGUCUUUCACCCUAGAGAUCUCACUCCUUUCUUAAUUUGCACUCUAUAUGUCCUUUCAUUUCUCAUUUUUAUUUUUAUUUUCUUUUCAUUUUUGCCCUCUUUAGGGUUUUUUCAUUCUUGUUUCCAUUUCACACAACCAUUUCUUCAAUUUUUUAUUUUUUAUUUUUAUUUUCCUUCACACAAUCAUGAUGCAUAUGAAGUGCAAUCAGCUUACAUGUUAUAGCAUCCACAAAUUUCUAGUACAUAAUUUUAUUUACUCCGAAUAUGCUCCAUGUUUUGCAACACUUAACACAACAAUUUUUUCUUCACUUUAAUCACCAUAAACAUCAAAAUAAUUCAUAAAUAAUUCCUAUAUCAUAAAAAAUAUAGUCUAAACACAAGUAAUAUAAAUUUCAUUUAUUCCUAACAUAAUAAUUUUCAAUAACCAACACAAUAAUUUUUCUUCCAUUAAAUCACCACAAACAUAAAAAAAAAAAAAAAUCAUAAAUAAUCCAUAAAUUACAAAAGAAAAUAAUCCUAAUAGUAACCAUAUUUCAAAUAACAUAAAGAAAAACCCAAAUAACACAUAUUCAUCUUCGAACAACCAAAUCCGUGAUUUUUUUUCAAGAAAAAUAUUGAAUAAAAGUUUUAGGGUUAAACCACCCUACCUUGAAUAAAAAAAUCUAACCGUUGAAACUAAAAUCAAACUCUAUAAAAAUGUUUCCCACAUCAAAUAAAGUAUUCUCCCAAAAUUUUACAUGAAAUGAAGUUCAUUUGAUAAGUCCAUUGGCGUCCCAAAGUCGGCGAUCCUAUUUCCCCCACUUUUAAACUCUGCUUCCCUAUCUUUAAUAAAUUAAACUAAUAUUAUUUAUUUCAUAUUCCAUAAUUAUAAAUUAUACUCAACUUAUCAUAUUCUUAAUUAAAUUUACUACAAGCCUGUUUUUUAGAAAAUAUAAUUUAACUUUAAUUACUUGAAGUAAUUUUACUUUGGAAUUCACUUAAGACAUGAUUCCAUUAACUAUUAAAAAAAAAAAUAUCAAUUUCAUAAAAUGUUCAAAACAUAAAAUAAUUCUUCGACAUCCAAAAAGUUGAAAUGGAUUAUAACCUUUAAUCCAUUAAGUUUACCAAUAUUUAUUUACCAACAAAAAUCUAAGCAAUAUUUUGAAACUUAAUUUCAUCAAUUAUUUAGUAAUUCAAUUUAUAAUAAUCAAAUUCUCAACCCUUCUAUAACUUUUAUUUAAUUUAUUUAAUUUGUUAAAUUCUUAAAUUGACUCUAACUUUUAAAAGUUAAAUUCACUAAAUUCACAUUUAAUUAAUUAAUCCUUUGUAUGUUUUUCUAAAUUCACAUAUCAUAAUUUAAUUUCGAUUCUAUUUGAUGUUUUUUCAUUUUAUAAGAUUUAAUUCUAAUUAUUAAAAUUAAAUUGAUUCAUUAUAAAAUUAAAUUCAAUUUCUUUUUAAUAAUCCAUUAUAAUAAUUCAUAUAAUAUAAAGUUUUACCAAUUUUUUCUCAUUACGAUUCUCUAAUAAUUUCCCAAUAAUAAUUAAAUUAAUUCUUACAAUAUACUUAAUAUUCAAAUUUUCAAAAUUUAAAAUCAAUUAUUUGAUGUUUAAAUUUUUCUACAAAUUUAAAUUUAGUUUUUAAAAUUCCUACUUUUUAAAUUUGAUGUGGCAAGAUUUAAUUUUCAAACUAUUGACUUUUGAUCAAUUUUUUUGUCAAAAUUGUUCUCAAUUAAAUAUUAAUAUGUGGAUCUUCAUAAUUCUUUUUGACUAUUUGACUAACAAUUUUAUGAAAACUUUUUUUAUCCCUAAAUUUGACAUGUCACUAAAAAUCCGAGUAUUACAAAUAUUAAUAUAAAAAAAAUUAAAUCAAAUAUAUGAGAAAUUAAACAUUAACUUAAAAUAUGGUAUAGAUAUUUUACUUAUUUAAUAGAUUAUGAAUUCAUUUUUAUUUUAAAAUAAUUUAUUUGGUUAAUUAUAAGUAUGUUAGAAUAUUUUAUUAAAUCAUUUUAAAAUAAAAAUAUAAUAAAAAAAAUUAAUGAGCAAAUUUAAUAUAAUAUAAUAAUAAAGUUGUAUAUAACGAUUAUAAAUAUUAUAUAUAUAUUAAUAUUAUAUGUUAUAAAAAAUUAAUAAUGUUAUUUCUAUAGCACAAGUGUAUUAUAUAAAAUUUUAAUUAUUAUUUUUUAUUAUCUUUCAAGUUUGUAAAAAUUCAAAAUUAAAAAAGAUUUUACAAAUUUCAUUUUUUUUAAAUAAUGUAAUUUAUUUUUAUCGACCAUGGUUUUCAAGAAGAAGAAAAAACAAUUAAAUGCAUUUUAAAAAAAUUAUUUUUAGAAAAUGAAAAUUUGAAAACCUUUACCAAACCAAAUACAAUAGUGCCUAGUUAUAUUAUUUGCUCUCUUUAUGUUGCCCUUAAAAUACCAAUGAGAAAUACAAAUCCCUUAAAAUAUAAAUGACACAAAAAUUGCACUUAACAACAUUUCAUUCUUGUUGUGUGUUUUUAUUUUCUAAAAAUCAUUUUAGAAAGCAGUUUUCAAGGAAUAAACCAAACGAUGGGAAUUGUUUUUUAAAACAAUUUUUUGUUCUCCAAAACAAAAAAUAUAGAAAAUAUGUUUGAUAACUAAAAACUAUUUUAUCUUUUCUUUUCUUAAGAAAAGAAAAUAGAAUAUUUUCAAAUAAUAUAUUUUUUAUUGUUUUCUAAUAUUUUAACUUAUUUUUUUAAUGAUUGUUUUAAGAAAUAAUUAUACAAAUAUAUAGAAUAAUUAAAAAUAAAAUACUAGAUAUAAAAAAAAAAUAUUUUUAAAACAUAUUUAAAAAUAUUAAAAAAAAAUUAAAAGUAUUUUAGUUUCCAAACAUACUUUUAUUUUAUAAAAAUCAAAGGAUAAUUAUCAAAAACCAUUUUCAAAGACUAUUUUUUAGAACUAUUUUCACAAAUAAUUACCAAAUUCGCCCUAAAAUUCUAAAGUAAUGCUAAGUGAUUCUAAAAUGGAUUUGCAGACCCGUUGCAACAUGAAGAGCACUGUACCUUUCAAGAAAGUAGUUAGGCAAAUUUAUUGUUUUCAAAUUUUUAAGUUUUUGUCACUUGACCAUCCCCUUGCUGUUGAUUUUGAUUUUGUUUUCAUUUUUGAAGUUCCAACUACCAAAGUGUGAAAUGGAAUGUGGGCCAUAGAAAAAUAAGUCAUGUUGCUGAUAACUAAUGUCCUUGGUUGACCAUUAUAAUCCUAUAUAAAUAAUUUUUUUAUUAUAUGGUAUGCUUUUAAUUAUAGCAGAAAUGCCACUUGUUCUAGUUAUAAAGUCAUAUAUAUAUAUAUAUAUAUAUAUAUAUAUAUAUAUAUAUAUAUAUAUAUAUAUAUAUUUGUUUUCAUUCCUUAAUUAAUUUUGUAUUGUGAUAUGAGAAUAUGACUUUUCCAUUGCAAGCUUUGUAAUUGUGAAUGAUAGGGACACUCCUCCAGUCAUUUGGCUUCAAAGGUAUUCAUAUUGACUUUCAAAUGAAAUUUGCUCCCUAAAACCUUAGUCUUCUUCCAAGUUGCUUUAACUCGGUCUUCUUAAUUUCUAUGGCUUAUGGCUUAUGGCUUAUAGCUUAGUUAAGUGGUAAUCUUAUGGCUUGAUGAUUUGAAAUUUUUGUAUUUCUUCAAAACUAAUCCAACCCUAAUUAAUGAGAUGAUCCCAUUUUUUUUUCAUAAAAAAAAACCCAUUUUAGACAAAUAUGUACGUCCUCAUAUUUUUCUUAUAAUAAUAACAUUUUCUUUUAAAACUCAUAUGUAAAUAAUUGAAAUAUUAAAAGAUAUUUAUAUAAAAAUUGGGUUACUUUUCAAAUUUAAAAAUGAUAGAUAUUAGUUUUACAAAUUGGGGAUCUUUUCAUCUUUUUUUAAUUAAUUAAUCCAAUUAAUAACUUAUAUUAGAGAAUUGUGUCAGCGGAGCAAAAAUAUGAAAGUUAGGCGUCGAUUUUGUAUCAUAUUAUGAUUACAUAUCUUUAUAAAAUUACGUACCAUUCCUAUUAAGAUUUUAUUAUGGAAAGAUAUUUUUUUAUAACUAUCUAGAAGGUACUAUCAAUGAGAUGAUGCCUUAUAUACACCAUCGAGUUUUCGUGACUUUACACUAAGAGUAUCAUUCAUUAUAGUCUUAUAGUUUGAUCUCAUUUAUCUAACUUAAAUUUUAUUUCCACUUUGAUUCAAUUUAAGUAAAAGGUUAGUAGAUACCGAAUUAGUAGCUUCGAUUUCUGACGUUAGAAACGAAAGCAAACUCCACUCACCAAAGUCUCCUCUCCGGCUAUUUAUUUAUCUUUGGCGCACAUAAUCAAUGCAUCUAUUUUAUAAAAAGAAAGUUAGAGAUUCUGCAUUCCACGUACACUAAAAUUAAACUUUCACUUUUGACUAUAUGGGGUUGUUGGGUCUGUAUUGGACUGUACAACACCAACCGAAUGUCAGCAUGACGAAACACCAAGAAAAGAGAGACAGUAUAAGGGUUAUAUGCUGUUCUAGAGAAUGUAUAUUUUUUUUUGCAGCAGGGAACUGGGGUGGGAAUGUCAACUGAAGCUCAAGAUUCACCCAUCCCCAUGUUGGACUUAUGUGAAUGGCUCAUCUGACUUCUUUUGACCUCAAAAGAAACCAGUAUUGUUGUUUAAUUCCAUGGCCCAAUAAGAAAUCCCAGAGAGAAAUUUCUUAGUUUUAUCCUUCUAGCGGUUGUUUGGUGUGAACAUUCUUCAGUUUCCAGUUGUUUGGUUUGCAAGGAAAUGGUUGGCAUUUAACCCGAUAUUGCCCAGAAAAAUCUUGACUGAUAACUUGGGUGCAAUAACUCAUUCGCCAAGCAUCUGGCUCUAAAGAAAAAUCAGUUCGGAUUCAGUCAGUUUUCCAAAAUUUUGUGGAUUAUUUGGUUAGAUUGCCAUUGAACUAUCUCCAUAGUUGAUAAGAAUUCUUAGGGCCCAGUCCUUGCCUCCUUGAGAGACCUACCUUGUCUCUAUCCUAUGUAUGUGUAAAAAACUAAAACUAAAAAAAAAAAAAAAAAAUGUCUACCUCAGAAAUAAUGGGUUGGACCUCUUUCACCUCUUGUAAGGUAGGUAAUUCUCUUUCAAAGUGCUCUCUAGAAGAAAGGGCUCCUUCCUAACUCCUUCCGCAGAAGACUUUUUGGAGUUGCUUUUCCCACAAGGGGACUCCCUCAAUUUCUCAACUUUUCCUCAUCUACAAAGGGUGUCAUUAGCUUGAAAGCUUUGGAAGUUUCCAAGUGACCCCAUUUUAAUAUCAAUUUUUUGAAAAAGGAGUGGGGGCUUGAAUUGCUUAGAAGAUUACAUGCGAAUAGAUUAGUUUUCAUUAGAUACAAAUUAAUAAAAGGUUAAGGGGAUAUGUUUCUCUCUUAAUAAUAAUAAAGUGGAAUAAUAAAAAAUAAUUUUAUUUUGAAUCAAAUAGACUGUCAAGUCCCAACUACUAUUUAUUUAAGGGACAAUUGUGUUUUUAACCUAUAUGGGAUUGAUAAUUAAGAUAAGGCUCUCCAACUACCCAUAAUUGAUUACAAUAAUAUAAAAUGGUAAUUGACAAAAAUAUCCUGUUAACUCAUUUUUGUUUUUAUUCUACCACUCUUUACAUGCCACUAUUAUUUCUUAUUUAACCAUUUUUUUAUUUUUCAUUAUUUUUUUAAACUCUUUUAUAAAUAAUUGAAAAAUCAACGUUAUUUUUUAUUUUUAAAUUAUAAAUAAACAAAAAUUAUAUUAAUGAUUCAAAGACUAUUUUGGAAAAUACUUUCUAAAAAAAUAUUAAUUUAAAUAAAUAAAAAUUAUCUUCUACAUUUAUUUUUAUCUUUUGCAUUUUAAAAGUAAAUAAUUUAAUGAUUAAAACAUUGUUUAAAAUAAAUAUAUUCACUAUUUUAAUUUCUUUUAUACUAAAAAUUAUUUUAAAGUUUUUUUUUUACUAUUAUAAAAUAAAAUGUUUAUUAUUAUUAUUUUUUUAAUUUUCUUCCUUCUUUAUUUUAAUAACUUUUUUAACAUGACUUUUAAUAAUAAGUUAUAUGAAAUGUUAUAAAUUUUUUUACUAAGGAAUUUUUUUUAAUGAUUUGAAUUAACUGAAAAUUUAUUAAAAUAAGAAAAAGAAAAAAGAAAGAAAGAGGAUGGAUGGAGAGUUUUUAUUUUAAAUACUCAAUCAAAAUGUUUUCAUAUGACUUAAUUUUAGAAGUGGAUUAUAUCAAUACAUAGUAGAGAUUAAAUUUUUCUUAUAUAAAAGAGUUGAAAGAUAUAUUUACUUAUUUUAGAUGAAAAAAAGUAGUUAAAAAUUAUAUAGAUUAUAUUUGAGUUUGGUUUUAAAAUAUUUUUCAAGUUUUUAUUUUUUAUUUUUAAAAAUAGUUUUUAUUUUCUAUAUUGUCUCUUUUUGAAAAUACGUUUAAUUAAAAAAUGAAAACUAUUUUUAAAAAUGAAAAUUGAAAACCUUGUUUAGUACUAUUUUUUUUUAUAUAGAAAAAAAUAAAUUUCAUUUAUUCAUUUAUUGUGCCACUAUACAAUUGUAUUACACUAACUGUAUAAGAGAAAUCUAUUAAGUGUACAAAGGUGUAUAAAACUACCCUUUAUGAAAUAUUACAAUUAAUUAUGAGUUAUUCCUUUAUUUUUCUUAUCACUCACGGAUUGUACACAUAUGUCAUGCACUUUAUUUAAUUCCCGCAUGGAAAUUCCAAUACUUUCCCUAAUAAUGAUAUUUGGGGAAAUUUUUUUUUACCUUAAGUCAUCCACCAUCUUCUCAACUAAACCAUUGGAAAUAUGGUUAAGCACUCAUACGAUAACACAUAACUUAGGAGGGAUAUGAAAUUUGUGUCAUUGUAUAAAGGUAUUACACUAACAGUACAAGGGAAAUAUACUAAUUGUACAAAGGUGUACAAGGUUACCCUUUGUGAAUGAUUUCAAUCAAUUCUAAACCAUUUUUUUAUUUUCCUUGUCAGCUAAGGAUUGUACACCUAUGUCAUGCAUUUUAUUUAACUCUCAUAUGAAAAUUCCAAUAUUUUCCCCAAUAAUGAUGUUUGGGGAAAAAAAAAUUGACCCUAAGUCAUCCACCAUUUUCUCAACCAAACCAUUGAAAAUAUGGUCAGUACACCUACAUGGACAUAUAAUUUAUGAGGGAUAUGAAAUUUAUGUCAUUGUACAAGGUUAUUACAUUAGUUGUAUAAGGGAAAUGUGUCAAGUGUACAAGACUCCUAAUAGGUUUUGCAUGAUUUUUAAACAACGUAAGUUUGACAUUAAGAUGAUUAUUGACAUUUUUUUUUUCUACCAAACUAUGUCAUUAAGAUAUUCCAUUAACACAUUGGAAAUAAAAUUAAAAUCAAUUAUGUUUGAAUUGUUCAUUAUAAAUAAAUUAAAUAAAAUAUAUAUUUUUACUAUUUUGCCUUUAUAAACAUAAUUUCAUUGUUAUCAAUAGAUAUUAAAAAAAAUCAUAUUUAAAUGAAAGUAAAAAUAAACAAAAAUUAUUUUUAUAACAUUUUUAUUUUUUUAAAUCAUUAAUUUAAAUGAUGAAAUUAGUUUUAAAAUAAAAAAUAUUUGUUGUAAUUAUAGUUUUGAAGAUUUCAUGAUCUUUAUCUUAUUACUUUGAAAAAAUUGCUUUAAUAAGAAAGUAUUUAUAUUAAUGGUUUUAAAUAUUUAAAACUUUAUUAAAAAAUAUUUAGGAUUAGUGUGGGGAGCAAUUAGGUAAUUUUGGAAUGGAGAAAUUUUGAAUAUUUUAAAUAUUUUAAUUAGGCCAAUUACCCGAUUUACACUUUCAAAAUUAUUGGAAGGUUGGUAAAUUAGUCUUAAAAAUAGUGUCUUCUUGAUUAAUAUUAUAAAAGGUUAAGGGGAUAUGUUUCUCUCUUAAUAAUAAUCAAGUGGAAUAAUAAAAAAAUAACUUUAUUUUGAAUCAAAUAGAAAGCCAAGUUCCAACUACAACUUGUUUAAACUAGAUUAGUAUCAUCAUAGCCAAUUCAUGAUGAGUAUGAGCCUUAGUCAACUCCUAGUAUAGCUGGAAAAAUCAGGUUAAAAGGCCAAGUUGGGGCUAGAAAAUUUUCGCCUAAAGAAAAGGGACUCAAAGUUGACUACUGGUUAGGUAUGGUUCCUUGUUCAGUGAGCAGAUAUAGCAGCAAAUAUCAGUAGUAGCAAAAUGGGAUUUUGUUAGAAAAUAAAGAACAUGUUAAAUGUUUGAAUUCCUAAGUAAAAUGGGAAAUAAUGAGCUUGGAUUGGAUUGUAUUUCUUUGAUUUUCAACCGCCCCGUUCAUGAAUACUGCACAUGUUUAGAUGGUGUGCUUUUACUUGUCUUUAUGCCUUCUAUAUAUACGCCACACGGGGCAGAACUCUCUCACCCCACCCCACCCCACCCCCUGGCCACUCCUCUCUCUCUCUCUCUCUCUCUCUCUCUCUCUCUCUCUUUGUGCUAUCAAAAUUUCAUUUAUGAGAAUCUGGCAUCAAGAGCAUGGCAAUGACUCAUAGCGCUCCUCUUUUUCUUAUUCAUAUCCUCUUCCUUGCUUUACUUCCUUUGAAAAUUACCACAUCACCCACAACAGAAGCAGAAGCUCUUAUCAAAUGGAAGAACAGCUUAAUUUCUUCUCCUCCUCUCAAUUCAUCAUGGUCCCUCACCAACAUUGGGAACCUCUGCAACUGGACAGGUAUUGCUUGUCAUAGCACCGGAAGCAUCUCUGUGAUAAAUCUCUCAGAGACACAGCUGGAGGGAACGCUUGCCCAGUUUGAUUUCGGUUCAUUCCCUAAUCUCACUGGCUUUAAUCUCAGCACCAAUUCCAAACUCAAUGGAUCCAUACCUUCUACGAUUUGCAACCUCUCUAAGCUCACUUUCUUGGACUUGAGUCACAACUUUUUUGAUGGCAACAUCACUUCAGAGAUUGGAGGGUUGACAGAGCUUCUGUAUCUCAGCUUUUACGACAACUAUUUCGUUGGUACCAUCCCCUACCAGAUUACCAAUCUUCAGAAGAUGUGGUACUUGGACCUUGGAUCCAACUACUUACAAUCUCCAGACUGGUCUAAGUUUUCGAGCAUGCCUCUGCUGACACGCCUGAGCUUCAACUACAAUGAACUUGCAUCAGAAUUCCCAGGGUUCAUAACUGAUUGCUGGAACUUGACAUACCUCGACUUGGCAGAUAAUCAACUGACUGGCGCAAUACCAGAGUCGGUAUUUGGCAAUCUGGGCAAGCUUGAAUUCCUCAGUCUCACUGACAAUUCAUUCCGGGGGCCAUUGUCAUCCAACAUUUCCAGGCUUUCCAAGCUCCAAAAACUUCGCUUAGGAACAAACCAAUUCAGUGGUCCAAUUCCUGAAGAAAUCGGUACGCUCUCUGAUCUUCAAAUGCUAGAAAUGUACAACAAUUCAUUUGAAGGGCAGAUUCCUUCUUCUAUAGGUCAGCUCAGAAAGCUUCAGAUACUCGAUCUCAAAAGCAAUGCCUUGAAUUCCUCAAUUCCAUCUGAGCUUGGCUCUUGUACUAAUCUCACAUUCUUGGCUGUAGCAGUAAACUCACUCUCAGGGGUGAUUCCUUUGUCCUUCACCAAUUUUAACAAGAUAUCUGCCUUGGGUUUGUCAGAUAAUUCAUUAUCUGGUGAGAUCUCACCUGAUUUCAUCACAAAUUGGACUGAAUUGACCUCUUUGCAAAUCCAGAACAAUAACUUCACUGGAAAAAUCCCAUCAGAGAUUGGCCUUUUGGAAAAGCUGAAUUACCUUUUCCUGUGUAAUAAUGGGUUCAACGGCUCAAUCCCAUCAGAGAUUGGGAACUUGAAAGAGUUGUUAAAACUAGACCUUUCAAAAAACCAGUUCUCGGGUCCAAUCCCUCCAGUAGAGUGGAAUCUCACAAAACUCGAACUCUUACAACUUUAUGAAAACAAUCUCAGUGGAACAGUUCCCCCAGAGAUUGGUAAUCUGACAUCAUUGAAGGUUCUUGAUCUCAGCACUAACAAAUUGCUUGGAGAGCUGCCAGAGACAUUGUCAAUCCUCAAUAAUCUAGAGAAACUCUCUGUGUUCACCAACAAUUUCUCAGGCACCAUUCCGAUUGAACUUGGGAAGAACAGCCUCAAGUUGAUGCAUGUCAGUUUUGCCAACAACAGCUUCUCAGGAGAAUUGCCUCCUGGAUUAUGUAAUGGCUUUGCUCUUCAACAUUUAACGGUAAAUGGAGGCAACAACUUCACAGGACCAUUGCCAGAUUGCUUGAGGAACUGCACGGGGCUAACUCGAGUCCGUCUUGAAGGGAACCAAUUCACUGGAGACAUUUCCAAGGCAUUUGGAGUUCAUCCAAGUCUCGUUUUCCUUUCUCUGAGUGGCAAUCGAUUUUCUGGUGAGCUUUCACCUGAGUGGGGGGAAUGUCAAAAGCUCACUAGCUUGCAGGUGGAUGGGAAUAAAAUUUCUGGAGUAAUCCCAGCGGAGCUUGGGAAGUUGUCACAACUGAGGGUUCUGAGCCUGGAUUCCAAUGAAUUGAGUGGGCAAAUUCCAGUGGCACUGGCGAAUUUAAGCCAAUUGUUCAACCUCAGCUUGGGUAAAAAUAAUCUGACAGGAGACAUCCCCCAGUUCAUAGGCACUUUAACUAAUCUCAAUUAUCUGAAUUUAGCAGGAAACAAUUUCAGUGGAAGCAUACCAAAAGAGCUGGGGAAUUGUGAGCGCUUGUUGAGCUUGAACUUGGGCAACAAUGAUUUGUCCGGUGAAAUACCUUCAGAGCUUGGAAACUUGUUGACCUUGCAGUACCUUUUGGAUCUCAGUAGCAAUUCGCUCUCUGGGACAAUCCCUUCAGACCUGGGGAAGCUUGCCUCAUUGGAGAACCUGAAUGUCUCACAUAAUCAUCUCACAGGGAGAAUCUCAUCAUUAUCAGGCAUGGUCAGUCUAAACUCCUCUGAUUUCUCAUACAAUGAACUGACAGGUUCAAUCCCAACUGGCGAUGUCUUCAAGCGGGCAAUUUAUACUGGAAACUCGGGUUUGUGUGGAGAUGCAGAAGGAUUAAGUCCUUGUUCUUCAAGUUCCCCAAGCAGCAAGUCAAACAAUAAAACCAAGAUUCUAAUUGCUGUCAUUGUUCCAGUCUGUGGCCUCUUAUUACUUGCAAUUGUUAUUGCUGCAAUUCUUAUACUUCGAGGACGAACUCAACACCAUGAUGAAGAGAUCGAUAGUCUAGAAAAGGAUCGGAGUGGCACGCCCUUGAUUUGGGAAAGACUGGGAAAAUUCACAUUUGGGGAUAUUGUGAAAGCCACUGAAGACUUCAGCGAUAAGUACUGUAUUGGAAAAGGAGGAUUUGGGACUGUUUACAAAGCGGUAUUACCAGAGGGUCAAAUUGUUGCGGUUAAAAGACUCCAUAUGUUAGACUCCAGCGACCUUCCAGCAACAAAUAGGCAGAGUUUUGAGAGUGAAACUGUCACUCUGAGAGAAGUUCGGCAUAGGAAUAUCAUUAAACUUCAUGGGUUCCAUUCCAGGAAUGGAUUCAUGUACUUAGUGUAUAACUACAUAGAGAGAGGUAGUUUGGGGAAAGCACUAUAUGGGGAGGAAGGGAAAGUGGAGCUGGGGUGGGCCACAAGAGUUACGAUUGUGCGGGGAGUGGCUCAUGCGCUUGCUUACUUACAUCAUGACUGCUCUCCGCCCAUUGUCCAUCGUGAUGUUACUCUGAACAAUAUCUUGCUGGAGUCAGAUUUUGAGCCACGGCUCUCAGACUUUGGCACAGCGAGAUUGUUGGACCCGAAUUCAUCCAACUGGACUGCAGUUGCAGGGUCUUAUGGCUACAUUGCCCCAGGUAAACUGAAGAUUAUUUUUAUCCAUUCUGUUUUAUAUUAGUUGAUCAGAAUGUGUUUUUAGGAAGCUCAUUUUGUUUUCUUGAUUUGCAGAGCUUGCACUUACAAUGAGGGUCACGGACAAGUGCGAUGUGUAUAGCUUUGGGGUGGUGGCAUUGGAAGUGAUGCUGGGAAGGCACCCAGGGGAGCUCCUACUUUCGCUGCAUUCUCCAGCAAUAUCUGAUGAUUCAGGGUUGUUCUUGAAGGACAUGCUAGAUCAGAGGCUCCCAGCUCCCACAGGCCGACUGGCAGAGGAAGUGGUGUUUGUGGUCACGAUAGCCUUGGCAUGCACGCGUGCCAAUCCUGAGUCACGCCCCACCAUGCGCUUCGUUGCACAAGAACUCUCUGCUCAAACCCAGGCUUGCCUAUCUGAGCCAUUCCACACUACAACCAUGGGCAAGCUAACAAGCUUUCAGAAGUAGGUCGAAUUGGUUUAACAUCCUUACAUUUAUAUUGUUCACAAUGGUUCAUGAACUCGAGUAGCUGAAUAGUGCUGUGUGUGCUACCUCUCAUGUAGCUGGGAUGACUUGUCCUAGUCAUCUAGGUCUUUAAGGUGGUAUAUGAUUGUGUAUGGUUACACAUUGAAAAUGACAAAUGAACAUGUCUAUUGCUAUUUGAGUGAUGUGUUCUUUUAAAUACUAUUUUUGUAGGAGUUUUUAACCUUGAGGGGUACUUGGGCUAGUGUUUGGCUUAGUGAUCAAUUUGAGUCACAUUGGAGUGAGACCCACAUAUAUAUAUUCUGAUGAUCUUGAGUGGUUGUUGAUUCAACAUGUAAACUGUGUAUACGUAAGAUGGACUUCAUAAUAUCUUGCUGAGGACAAUAUUUUUCUUUUUAGUAAUUCUAAGGUGCAUGAUUAAGGUAAAUCCUUGGUGAGGGUAAUUUUAUUUGAUUAUUGGAAUUGAUGUUUUAUCCUUCUAGGAUAUGGUAACAUCAAUUGUUUUAUCAUGACAAAUGUGAAUUUCUAACUCAAAGGCUAAAGAUGGAAUUUAUUAGUGGAUCACACAUACUAAUUGAAUCAUGAAUAUGAGUUCAUGGGAAACAAAUACAUUGAUUAGUAGUGUGUGGGACAACUAUUAACUUUAUGUAAUUAGAUGUAAUUAGUGAAGUGUAGUCAAAUGACUUUAAUGGAGUCAACCAUUGGUGGCCAUUGGUUGGAGCUUGAAGAGAGUGAAUAUAAGUAAGGAUUACCGAACCACUAUAAAACUUAAAUUUGCUUUUUCUAUCCCUUAUCUCUUUAUAUUCAUUACUCUAUAAUUGUCUAAAUUUAUUUUGUUUUCCAAAAGUUUUUAGAAACCCAAUUCAAUUCCUUCCUAGGUGAUUGUAUGAAUUAAUUAGCUUUCAAAUUCACACUAUAUAUAAAAUAAGCGAAAAUAUGAAAUAAUAUAUUUUAUUUCAUGUUUAAUUCACAAUCAAAUUUAAGUUAUCUCAUCACUUUCUAAAUUUUAAAUAUUUUAAUUAUGAAUAUUAUUAAUAAAGAAAUAAAAAAUUACACACUAAAUUAUAAUUCUAAAUAAUACCCGAUUGACAUGUGAGAUAUUUCAAUAUUCUUUAAUAAACUUUCAAUUAAACAAAUAUUACAUUUUCAUUCAAUUUUUUUUGAGAUAUCAUUUCCAUUAAAUAUAAUAUGCACGUAUAUUAUGUCUCACUAAAAUGAUAUUUUACCAUAUACAUAGUUAUUAAACAUGGCCUAAAAUUAUUUGAUAAGGAAAGACGAGACUAGUAAAGCUUUUUAAUAUGGCUGAAUCAAAGAUGAACAUAAAUUAGUAUUGGAGAAUUUAUUUUAUUUGAAGGCAUCAAAGAGGGAAGGAUAGAAAUUUCAUUAAAUUAAAAAGAAGUCCUCAGCCUAAAUUUGGUUGAUGGGAUAUAGUCAUGACUUUCCUUAUCAAAUAAUGUUCAGUUGAUAACUAUUUAUUAAAUUAGUUUUCUAUUUUUUAGAAAAAAAAAACUACGAUUAACCAAAAAGAAAAAAAGAAUACUUUAAUAUUCUUAAAAGUAGAAAACAUGUUGUUUUAAUAAAACAUCUUUAAUUUUCUUGAUUGUUUUCACUUGUUUUUUAAGGAUGAUUUGAAUAAAUAAUCAUACAAAUACGACAAACAAUUAACAAUAAAAUAUUACAUAUAAAAGUUAUUUUUAAAAUAUAUUUAAAAACAUAAAAAAUAUGUUACAUAUAUUUUAGAUUCUUAAAUAAAGUUUUAUUUUACAAAACAUAAAAUGAAAGAGAAUAAUUUUUAAAAAUUGUUUUUUAAAAAUAUUUUUGAAAACACUUACAGUAUAUAUAACCUUAGUAACUUAAUAGCACUCAAAGAUAAUGCAAGACAGACUAAGUUUACAUAAUUGGAUAAAAGACUACUUCCAAAAGUAGAAAAACCAAAACAAGUUUUGAAAACGAGCCCUCCAAAAUUGUUAGAUCUCAGCAAUAAUGAUUCAACAAAGAUAAAAUGAUCAAGCCUUAAGCUAGCGUGUGUGGGAAGCUUUGCUCCAUGUGUCCUUCCCAAGCUCAAGACCUUUUGGUUAUCCAAGGUAAAUAAAUAAUUCGUCUGGGAUCAAUCUGUCUGAUUCAAGUUAAGCUCUGUCUGGUGCAAGAGGAGAGAUAUAUUUCAUUCUUCCUCAAUGUUAAACAAAAUGGACAGACCAAGCUGACUAGGACUUCCAGAUAGACAAACCAACCCAACAGGAAAUUCCAAGCAUUGGACAAAUGAUUAAUCACACCCAAUGCUUGAGCAACAAUCUAGAUGGCAUUUACACGAAAAAACCAAUGUUAAUAAGUCGUUACACACAAUCAGCGACAUUGAAAAACGUAAAUGCACAGUCAACGAUAUGGUUCGAGAUUCUUGCACGACAACCAACAAAUGACACCAAUCAGCAACUCUUGUUUGGUAUGAUUGUCUAGUCUGCACUAAGAUGAUGGCGUUGAUUACCUUAUAAAGGCUUAGUAUUUGCCACGAUGACGAUCAUCAAUGCAAGAAAGGCAUGAAUGCACAAUCAACGCUAUGAGAAUGACGUCAUAUGUUCUAUAAAAACCACUCGAGAAGCAUGAAAAAGAUACACGCAUGUAUAGCCAUUCAAAACAGUUGGAUUCACUCUUACUAGAUUCUGACUUAAGUUUUGGAAAGGCGUGCCUAGACCACCUGUCUAGACAUCCUUUUGUGUAGGGAAGAAGUUCGACUGACUCCAAUGAAGCUAGACAAACCUAUAUCUAGUUGACACAACACCAACAUUGGUGUCGUUUGUGGGAACCAACUAAGAAUGUCAACACCCUCUAGAAACCAAUCAUUAGCUAUGGGUGACAAAGAUUGUUUUGUCUGGUGCAAAAGGAUGAAGAGAUGCCAACAAGAAAAUGAGUGGUGGAUGUAGACUUUGCUUUGCCAAAUAGAAUGACUAAGAAAAAAGAACAAAGAAUUAUGGGCUAAAAUGUCAACAAUAGGCAUUUUUUAAAGUCGGCACACUCAAAACCGACAAACAGCCUCAAAACAAACUAUUGAGGCAUCUUUCCUCGGGGGCACAUAGUUCUCAUCCGACAGCUACUCAAGACGAUCCUAUGAGGAGCCUUCACCAACUCGUCAAAACUAGUCGACAAAGGCACCAACUUCACUUGGGCAUCAAGGAAAAAAAGAUGCAGUAGAGGGUCACAUUUAUCUGACGCGAUGCGAGUCCGACUAGGACCUCAAGCACCAAGCAUGGAGGGAUAACAACGUAUGUUAGAGACCUUAAGGGCAUGUCUAGGUCAGCUAGCCAUAACAAAUACAUCUGGAUGACCCUCUCAACUACCAAAGUAGCAGCAGGCGAACAUAUUGGUGACGCGAGCCCCACCUUACUCUAUCAGCCGACGGUUGGAUGACAUACUCACCACACCAUUCAACCCCCAUAUCAUUAACUACGAGCAGCCUAGAGGGUUCAUAGUGCCCAAGUUCAUAAUGUACAACAUAAAGAGUGACCCAUUUGACCACACCAUGCACUUCAAGAAGCUUAUGACCCUUGGCAUAGGAAUGAUGCAUUGAUGUGCAAGGUCUCUACAACCAGCCUACAUGGUCAAGCUCUCUCUUGGUUCCAUCAUCUCCCGUAGAAUUUCAUGAACACUUUUCGGGAUGUCUCAGAUGUCUUUUUAGGCCAUUUCCUAUGUUCUACUCACCAAAAGCAUAACAUAAGCACCCUACGGAACAUCAAGUUGCAGGAAAAUGAAAUGCUAAGGUACUUCAUGAAGCGAUUUGGGCAAAUAGUGCUCCAAGUUGAAUCCUGUAGUAUGGACGCCAUUUUUCAAGUGAAGUAUUAGCCCGGGCACACCAUUUUUUGAGUCUCUUGAGAAGAAGCCGAUUACAAUGAUGGAUAUCCUAUUUAGUUUAGUGGACAAGUAUUCUAUACUCGAAGAUGAUGUCCAAGAAGCCUUUCAACAAGUCUUGGUCACUAAUCAUCCGACCAAGAAUGAUAAAGCGGGGAGUUCUAAGCCCUCGAACCAAUUGAGGCAAUGUAACAAGAGGUGAGAUGACCAACAAUAGCAACAAGUGAGACUCACCCUUCUAAGCAUUUCCUAUGAGAGACUCCUCCCACAGAUUUGGCUAGACAGGACUGAAACAAAAGGUGCUCCUACCAUAAGGAUCAUGGUCAUACCACCGAACAAUGCAAGAGUUUGUAUUACUUGGUGAAGAAACUUAUUAAGAUCGAGAACCUUAAGUAGUACGUUCGCACAACCAACGGGCAAAGAGAUAUGACACUAGAGGUAACUGUCUAAGCCUUUGCAUCUUUGGAAGCUUCCAGAGUUGUCAUUAACUAUAUACACGGAGGUCCAAUAGCCGAUAAACACUACUUUAGACAGCAAAGGUGAAGGUUGCUUCACGUGGCUUCUAUAAGAGAACAUAUUAACUUUGUUCAAUGCACCUUCGCAGAAGGAAGUGUGCAUCCAGUAGACAGCAUAAUCACCUUCUUUCCAUUGGAUGUUGUAAUCGCAUGAAGAUGCCUUGAUCCUAACAUUGGGGGUAAGUGGAUUUGACGUGUGGAAAAUCCUAGUUGAUCCGAGCAGUUUAACUAACCUUUCUCAAAUGUCGAACUAUAGGCAAAUGGGCUACUCGUCAUCUGUCAUAGAAAAUCCAGGACGUCUGUUGUCUGGAUUCAAUGAAGCUACAACAACCUCUUUGUGCGAUGUUGUGUUGUCCGUUCAAGUUGGCUCGGUCACAUUGGGCAUGCAGUUCUCGGUGGUUGACGAUUUGUCUCUAUACAAUGCCAUUAUGGGAUGUGCAUGGCUUCACAAAAUGAAAGUCAUUCCUUCUAUAUACCAUCAAAUGGUGAGCUACCUCAUAGAAUAUGGACAAGUUGAUCUCCUUGACAACCAGCUAGCCGCGCGACAAUGCUAUUAGGUGGUGCUAGAAUCCGAAUAUUCGACUGAUAAAUAGGCGCAUUCAAACCCAUCAACUACAAGGAAGCAAUAGCAGUUACUAAGUCUAGCCGAAAAAGAUCCAUCUACGAUUGAACUCCAGCCACUGCUCAUCUAGCAUGGCACAAAUCAAAUCACCUAUACCAGUUCCCUGUUUGUGCAAGAUGAACUAGAACUGCUAAGAAAUAUGUUUUAGCGCAAUAAGAACAUAUUUGCUUAUACUCACUCGAACAUGCCGGAAAUCCAUCCGGUCAUGGCCUCCCACAAGCUUAACGUCUCACCCACCUCGCGACCUAUCCGACAAAAGAUCCAACAUUUUCAUCCGAACAGAAAAAAAAUCAUCCAGAUAGAAAUUGAAAAACUAUUGGUAGUUAGAUUCAUCAGAAAAUUCAAAUAUCUGGAUUGAUUGACGAACGUGGUGGUAGUCCCAAAGAAAUAUGGAAGGUAGCGAGUCUGCGUUGAUUACACUAACCUGAAUGACGUCUACCCAAAUAAUUGCUUUUUCUUGCCCCGAAUAGAUCAAAUAGUUGAUGCCACCAUCGGACAUGGGAUGCUCUCCUUUCUAGACGUCUGUUUUGGAUACCACCAAAUCCCUAUGUUUUAGCUAGACGAGGAGAAAAAAACCUUUGUCACACCACAAGGGUUGUAUUGUUACAAAAUCAUGUUGUUUGGACUCAAGAAUGCUGACGCUACUUACCAGAGACUAAUGAAAAAAUAUUCAAGCCCCUGAUCGGCCGAACGGUGGAAGUCUACAUUGAUGACAUUGUUGUAAAGAGCGAAACCCAAGUUGAGCACAACCAACACCUAGAAGAAGGAUUCCGUCUGUUGCGGGCAUACAACAUGAAGCUCAAUCCCACUAAAUGUGCCUUUGGCGUCAAUGCAAGGAAGUUUCCAAGGUUUAUGGUAACCCAAAGAGGAUUUGAAGUUAAUUAAGCUCAAGUGAAAGUCGUCAUCGAAACACUCUCUACAAACAGUAAAAGGAAUUGCAACGUCUCACAGGUCGUCUCGCAGAUUUGGGUCAUUUCAUAGCUUGUUUCAUAGAUAAGUUAAGACAUUUCUUCCUCACACUUAAAGGGGUAAGCACGUUCGAUUGGAUAGACGAGUGUAAGUAGACAUUUCAAGUAGUCAAGUGUUAUCACUAAACCGCCCAUUUUAAGCCCCAAGUUCGACGAAUAACUCUACAUGUAUUUGGCCCUAUCUGACUGCGUUGUCAAUGUCGUCCUAUUUAUGUAUAUACGAGAUAGAGAGUAGAGACCCAUCUAUCAUGUGAGAAAAGCAAUGGUGGAUACUAAGACUCGGUAUUCCCAAGUAGAGCAAACUGAUUUAGCACUAUAGAGUGUUACUCGAAAGCUCCGCCAUACUUUCAGACUCAUCAAGUGACCAUACUUACAAACCGGCCGCUCUGAGUCACUUUGCACAAGUCAGACCUAUCUGGAUGAAUGUUCAAAUAGGCAAUCAAGUUGAGUAUGGGAUCGAGUAUCAAUCGCGGUUAUCCUUAAAGGGGCAAGUAAUAGUUGACUUCAUAGUUGAACUCCCUAAAAAAAAACACAUUUGGCCGACCACUUUGGAGAGCAAUGGUAGACACUUCAUGUAGACGGAUCGUCUAAGGUGUUUGGAUCCGGAGUAGGUCUGGUCCUGCAAUCACCAACCAUGGAACUAAUAGAGCAAGUUAUUCGUCUCAGCUUCUCGACUUCCAACAACGAGACAUAAUAUAAAGCUAUGCUAGCUGGGCUAGAUCUUGCCCUUAUGUUAGUUGCAACCAAGUUGGAAAUCAAGAGCGACUCUCAGCUAAUUGUUGAGCAGAUUCAACAAGACUACAAAGCAAAAGAUGAAUGUAUGACCCAAUACCUCGCCAUGGUGGAAGAACACUUGAAAAAGCUAAACGAUUGGAUCAUUAGACCGACACCACAAGAAGAGAACGGAAAAGCCGAUGCAUUGGUCAGAAUAGUUGCCACUCUUCCUAUAAAUGAGACGAUAAUGUUGCCCAUCUACCUCAAAGUCAUGCCUUCAAUCACUUUAGAGUCAGUAUGCAAUACCAAUGAAGAAGACUCAAGAUGGAUGCUCGACAUCAUAAAAUACCUCUAGACAGGAGAAGUACCAAAAGACGGGAAGUAAGCACAUAAACUUCGCAUACAAGUAGUACCCUUUACUUUAAUUAAUGAUCAACUUUAUUAAUGAUCAUUCGAAAGCCCAUACCUAAAGUGUUUGAGUGAGUUAGAGACCAAAUAUGUCUUAGUUGAAUUCCAUGAGGGCGUAUGUGACAAUUACCCAGAUGGAUACCACGCUUACACGCAAGGAUACUAUUAACCCCCAUGAAGCAAGACGCUAAAAGGUAUGUCAAAAAAAUGCAAUCAAUGUCAAUCACACGCUCCUAUUCCUCGUGUACCUUUGGAAGCCCUCAACCUGGUCACAAGUCCUUGGCCAUUUGUGUAGUGGGGGUGGACAUAGUCGGCCCCUUACCCACUGGAGCAGCAUAAAAGAUGUUUCUACUUGUUGCAACUAACUACUUCAGCAAAUGGGUAAAGGCAGAAGCCUAUGUCAGUAUCAAAGACAAAGAUGUCUCCAAGUUCAUCUGGAAAAACAUCGUAUGUCGAUUCAGAAUUCCACGAGCAAUCAUAACGAAUAAUGGACCCCAGUUUGACAACGCCGUCUUUCGAACAUUUUGCUCAAAGCUAGACAUCAAGAAUUUGUACUCAACACCCUUGUUAUCCACAAAGCAACAGAUAAGUAGAGGAGACAAACAAAACCCUAUUGAAUGCAUUAAAAAAAAUGUUGGAAUGAGCGAAAGGAAAAUGGGUAGAUGAGUUGCUCGGAGUUGUAUAGGCUUACCGAAUAACAUCCAGAUGGUCAACAUGAGCUACUCCUUUCACCCUUACUUAUCAGAUGGAAGCCAUCAAUCCAAUCGAAAUUGGCAUGCCUACUGCCAAAACAGCUAUGGAAGGUCAAAGGGACGACGAUGAAGAACUCAUAUGACAAUUGGAUUAAGCUGACGAAAAGUGAGGAAAUGUAGCUAUCUGGAUGGCUUCUUACUAUCAGAGGACAAUUGCUCAGUACAGCAAAAGAGCAUGACCACUGUUUUUCCAACCAAGAUCUUUAGUUCUCAGAAGAGCCUUCAAAAACACAAUUAAAGUGGGAGUCAGAAAGCUACAACUUGAAGUAAUUUUACUUUGAAAUUCACUUAAGACACGAUACCAUUAACUAUUAAAAAAAAAAAUCAAUUUCAUAAAAUCUUCAAAACAUAAAAUAAUUCUUCGACAUCCAAAAAGUUGAAAUUCAUUAUAACCUUUAAUUCGUUAAUUUUACCAACAUUUAUUUACCAACAAAAAUCUAAACAAUAUUUUGAAACUUAAUUUCACCAAUUAUUUAGUAAUUAAAUUUAUAAUAAUCAAAUUCUCAACCCUUCUAUAACUUUUAUUUAAUUUACUUUAUUUGUCAAAUUCUUGAAUUGAAUCAAACUUUUAAAAAUUAAAUUCACUAAAUUCACAUUUAAUUAAUUUAUCCUUUUGUAUGCUUUUCUAAAUUCAUAUAUCAUAAUUUAAUCUUAAAUUAAUUUCAAUUCUAUUUGAUGUUAUAUCAUUUUAUAAGAUUUAAUUCCAAUUAUAAAAAUUAAACUGAUUCAUUAUAAAAUUAAAUUCAAUUUCUUUUUAACAAUCCAUUCUGACAAUUCAUAUAAUAUAAAUUUUUACCAAGUUUUUCUCAUUACGAUUCUCCGACAAUUACCCAAUAAUAAUUAAAUUAAUUCUUACAAUAUACUUAAUAUUCAAAUUUUCAAAAUUUAAUAUCAAUUAUUUGAUGUUUAAAUUUUUCCCCUAAUUUAAAUUUAGUUUUUAAAAUUCCUACUUUUUAAAUUUGAUGUGGCAAGAUUUUCAAACUAUUGAUUUUUGAUCAAUUUUUUUCUCAAAAUUUUUCCUAAUUAAAUAUUAACACGUGCAUCUUCACAAUUCUUUUUGACCAUUUGACUAACAAUUUAAUGAAAACUUUUUUUAUCCCUAAAUCUGACAUGUCAUUAAAAAACGCGAGUAUUACAAAUAUUAAUAUAAAAAAAGAUUAAAACAAAUAUAUGAGAAAUUAAACAUUAACUUAAGAAUAUGGUAUAGAUAUUUUACUUAUUUAAUAGAUUAUGAAUUAUUAUAGAUGAAUUCAUUUUUAUAUUAAAAUAAUUUAUUUGGUUAAUUAUAAGUAUGUUAGAAUAUUUUAUUAAAUCAUUUUAAAAUAAAAAUAUAAUAAAAAAAUUAAUGAGCAAAUGUAAUAUAAUAUAAUAAUAAAGAUUAAUUUUUUAUAAUGUAUAUUAUAUAUAUAUAUAUAUAUAUAUAUAUAUAUAUAUAUAUAUAUAUAUAUAUUAUACAUUAUAAAAAAUUAAUAAUGUUAUUUCUAUAGCACAAGUGUAUUAUUUAAACUUUUAAUUAUUAUUUUUUAUUAUCUUUCAAGUUAGUAAAAAUUCAAAUUAAAAAAGAUUUUACAAAUUUCACUUUUUUUAAAUAAUGUUAAUUUUUUUUUAUCGACCAUGGUUUUCAAGAAGAAAAAAAAAAGACAAUUAAAUACAUUUAAAAUAAAUAAAUUUAAAGUUCCAAAAAAAAAUAAAAAAAUAAAAUUUAUUUUUAGAAAAUGAAAUUUUCAAAACCUUUACCAAACUAAAUACAAUAGUGACUAAUUAUAUUAUCCGCGCUCCCUAUGUUGCCCUUAAAGUACUAAUGAGAAAUACAAAUCCCUUACAAUAUAAAUGACAUGGGAAUUGCACUUGAUAACAUUUCAUUCAUAUUGUGUGUUUUUAUUUUCUAAAAAUCAUUUUAGAAAGCAGUUUUCAAGGAAUAAAACCAAACACUAAGGGUGGGAAUUGUUUUUUAAAACAAUUUUUUGUUCUCCUAAACAAAAAAUAUAGAAAAUAUGUUCGAUAACCAAAAACUAUUUUUUUUUUAAGAUAAAAAAUAAAAUAGGAUAUUUUCAAAUAAUAUAUUUUUAUUAUUUUAUAUUAUUUUAACUUGUUUUCUAAUGAUUGAUUUAAGAAAUAAUUAUAUAAAUAUAUAGAAUAAUUAAAAAUAAAAUACUAGAUAUAAAACUUAUUUUUAAAACUUAUUUUAAAAUUUUAAAAAUAGGAUAAAAGUAUUUUUGAUUUCUAAACAUACUUUUAUUUUAUGAAAAUCAAAGGAUAAUUCUCAAAAACUAUUGUCAAAUAUUAUUUUUUAAAACUAUUUUCAUAAAUAAUUACGAAACUCGCCCUAAAAUUCUAAAGUAAUGCUAGGUGUUUCUAAAAUGGAUUUGCAAACCCGUGGCAACAUUAAGCGCAUUGUACCUUUCAAGAAAGUAGUUAGGCAAAUUUAUUGUUUUCAAAUUAUAAGUUUUUGUCACUUGACCAUCCCCUUGCUGUUGAUUUUGAUUUUGUUUUUAUUUUUGAAGUUCCAACUACCAAAGUGUGAAAUGGAAUGUGGGCCAUAGAAAAAUAAGUCAUGUUGCUGGUAACUAAUGUACUUGGUUGACCAUUAUAGUCCUAUAUAAAUAACUUUUUAUUUUUAUUUUUUAUAUGGUAUGCUUUUAAUUAUAGCAGAAAUGCCACUUGUUCUAGUUAUAAAGUCAUAUAUAUAUAUAUAUAUAUAUAUAUAUUUGUUUUCAUUGCUUAAUUAAUUUUGUAUUGUGAUAUGAGGAUAUGACUUUUCCUUUGCAAGCUUUGUAAUUGUGAAUGAUAGGGACACUCCUUGUGUCAUUUGGUUUCAAAGGGAUUCAUAUUGACUUUCAAAUGAAAUUUGCUCCCUAAAACCUCAUUCUUCUUCCAAGUUGCUUUAACUCGGUCUUCUUAAUUUCUAUGGCUUAUGGCUUAUAGCUUAGUUAAGUGGUAAUCUUAUGUCUUGAUGAUUUGAAAUUUUUGUAUUUCUUCAAAACUAAUCCAACUCUAAUUAAUGGGAUGAUCCAAUUUUUUUUUCAUAAAAAAAAAAAACACAUUUUAGACAAAUAUGUCCUCAUAUUUUUCUUCCAAUAAUAACAUUUUUUUUUUUUAAACUCACAUGUAAAUAGUCGAAAUGUUGAAAGAUAUUUAUAUAAAAAUUGGGUUACUCUUCAAAUUUAAAAAUGAUAAAUAUUAGUUUUACAAAUUGGAGAUCUUUUCAUCUUUUUUUAAUCAAUUAAUCCAAUUAAUAACUUAUAUUAGAGAAUUGUAUCACCAGAGCAAAAGUAUGAAAGUUAGGUGUCACUUUUGUAUCAUAUUAUGAUUCCAUAUCUUUAUAGAAGUACAUACCAUCCCUAUUAAGGUUUUAUUAUAGAAAGAUAUUUUUUUAUAACUAUCUAAAAGGUACUAUCAAUGAGAUGAUGCCAUAUAGACACAAUCGAGUUUUCAUGACUUUACACUAAGAGUAUCAUUCAUUAUAAUCUUAUAGUUUGAUCUCAUUUAUCUAACUUAAAUUUGAUUUCCACUUUGAUUCAAUUUAAGUAAAAGGUUAGUAGAUACCGAAUUAGUAGCUUCGAUUUCUGACUUUAGAAACGAAAGCAAACUCCACUCACCAACCAGUAUUGUUGUUUGAUUCCCUGCUCCAAUAAGAAAUCCCAGAGGGAAAUUUCUUAGUUUUAUCCUUGUAGUGUUGUUUGGUGUGAACAUUCUUCAGUUUCCAGUUGUUUGGUUUGCAAGGAAAUGGUUGGCAUUUAACCCGAUAUUGCCCAGAAAAAUCUUGACUGAUAACUUGGGUGCAGUAACCCAUUUGCCAAGCAUCUGGCUCUAAAGAAAAAUCAGUUCGGAUUCAGUCAGUUUUCCGAAAUUUUGUGGAUUAUUUGGUUAGAUUGCCAUUGAAAUAUCUCCAUAGUCGAUAAGAACUCUUAGGGUCCAGUCCUUGCCUCCUUGAGAGACCUACCUUGUCUCUAUCCUAUUUAUGUGUAAAAAACUAAAAAAAAAAAAAAAAAUUCUACCUCAGAAAUAAUGGGUUGGACCCCUUUCACCUCUUGUAAGGUAGUUAAUUCUCUUUCAAAGUGCUCUCUAGAAGAAAGGGCUCCUUCCUAACUCCUUCCGCAGAAGACUUUUUGGAGUUGCUUUUCCCACAAGGGGACUCCCUCAAUUUCUCAACUUUUCCUCAUCUACAAAGGGUGUCAUUAGUUUGAAAGCUUUGGAAGUUUCCAAGUGACCCCAUUUUAAUAUCAAUUUUUUGAAAAAGGAGUGGGGGCAUGAAUUGCUUAGAAGAUUACAUGCGAAGAGAUUAGUUUUCUCUCUCUUAAUAAUAAUCAAGUGAAAUAAUAAAAAAUAACUUUAUUUUGAAUCAAAUAGACAGCCAAGUUCCAACUACUCCUUGUUUAAACUAGAUUAGUAUCAUCAUAGCCAAUUCAUGAUGAGUAUGAGCCUUGGUCAACUCCGAGUGUAGCUGGAAAAAUCAGGUUAAAAGGCCAAGUUGGGGCUAUAAAAUUUUCGCAGUUGAAUACUGGUUAAGUAUGGUUCCUUGUUCAGUGAGCAGAUAUCGCAGCAAAUAUCAGUCGUAGCAAAAUGGGAUUUUGUUAGAAAAUAAAGAACAUGUUAAAUGUUCGAAUUCCCAAGUAAAAUGGGAAAUAAUGAGCUUGGAUUGGAUGUAGCCCAUGUCGUAUUUCUUUGACUUUCAACCGCCCCGUUCAUGAAUACUUUCGGAUGUUUAGAUGGUGUGCUUUUACUUGUACUUAUGCCUUCUAUAUACGCAACACGGGGCAGAACUCUCUCUCUUUUCCCCCACCCCAGCCCCCAGCCCCCGGCCACUCCUCUCUCUCUCUCUCUUUGUGCUAUCAAGAUUUCAUUGAUGAGAAUCUGGCAUCAAGAGCAUGGCAAUGAUUCAUAGCGCUCCUCUUUUUCUUAUUCAUAUCCUCUCCCUUGCUUUACUUCCUUUGAAAAUCACCACAUCACCCACAACAGAAGCAGAAGCUCUUAUCAAAUGGAAGAACAGUUUAAUUUCUUCUUCUCCUCUCAAUUCAUCGUGGUCCCUCACCAACAUUGGGAACCUCUGCAACUGGACAGGUAUUGCUUGUGAUACCACCGGAAGCGUCACUGUGAUAAAUCUCUCAGAGACAGAGCUGGAGGGAACGCUUGCCCAGUUUGAUUUCGGUUCAUUCCCUAAUCUCACUGGCUUCAAUCUCAGCAGCAAUUCCAAACUCAAUGGAUCCAUACCUUCUACGAUUUACAACCUCUCUAAGCUCACUUUCUUGGACUUGAGCCACAACUUUUUUGAUGGCAACAUCACUUCAGAGAUUGGAGGGUUGACAGAGCUUCUGUAUCUCAGCUUUUACGACAACUAUCUCGUUGGUACCAUCCCCUACCAGAUUACCAAUCUUCAGAAGAUGUGGUACUUGGACCUUGGAUCCAACUACUUACAAUCUCCAGACUGGUCGAAGUUUUCGAGCAUGCCUCUGUUGACACGACUGAGCUUCAACUACAAUGAACUUGUAUCAGAAUUCCCGGGGUUCAUAACUGAUUGCCGGAACCUGACAUACCUCGACUUAGCACAGAAUCAAUUGACUGGCGCAAUACCAGAGUCGGUAUUUAGCAAUCUGGGCAAGCUUGAAUUCCUCAAUUUCACUGACAAUUCAUUCCAGGGGCCAUUGUCAUCCAACAUUUCCAGGCUUUCCAAGCUCCAAAACCUUCGCCUAGGAAGAAACCAAUUCAGUGGUUCAAUUCCUGAAGAAAUCGGUACGCUCUCUGAUCUUGAAAUAUUAGAAAUGUACAACAAUUCAUUUGAAGGGCAGAUUCCUUCUUCUAUAGGUCAGCUCAGAAAGCUUCAGAUACUCGAUAUCCAAAGAAAUGCCCUGAAUUCUAAAAUUCCAUCUGAGCUUGGCUCUUGUACUAAUCUCACCUUCUUAUCUCUAGCUGUGAACUCACUAUACGGGGUGAUUCCUUCUUCCUUCACCAAUCUUAACAAGAUAUCCGAGUUGGGUUUGUCAGACAAUUUUUUAUCUGGUGAGAUCUCACCUUAUU